rnacentral:lncRNA from 1 species
CCCAUUCUACGCGUACGGGGACCGGUCCCCUCCUCCUGAGGGACCGGACCCCGAGAGCAAUUUUCGUACGCAGCAUUUUUCUGCCACACACCAUACGUACGGGAACCGGUCCCUCCCGUCAGGGACCGGUGUUACGAUAUAUUUUAUCUAUAUUAGGAUGUUACGAUAUAUUAGGAUAUUGUGUUUUAUUGCCUUAUAUAGAGUAGUAUCAUUGCCUUCUAUAGAGUAGGAUUAUAUAGUAUGUAAUCCUAGUUAUACUCUUACUAUAGUAGUCAUUGUUACUAUAGUAAGACAAUCUCUUGUACUAUAUAUAUUCAUUAAUACAACUCAAGAGGGUAUGCACUUUAGCCCUUCUUUCAUGGUAUCAGAGCGGGAACCCUAAUGUGGGGAUAUCGAUCCAUAGCCACCAUCCACCAUUAAUCUCACCUUUUUCUAUAGGUGUCUUUUCUUUUGGUUUUCUAUCUUCCCAAUACUGCUACAGUACUGCUACAGUAUCAUCGCUACAGUACUGGCGCUACAGUAACAGCGCUACAGUAACAGCGCUACAGUAUUUCUGCUACAGUAUUUUCAGCCUUUCUGUGAUUUCUCUUUGCUCCUCUGGUGCCGCUCGGACUGUCCUACUGUUGGUUGCUCGUAUCACUCGGUUCUUUCCUUGGUGCGGUCGAUCUUAUUUGGUGAUAAGUGGUUCCUCUCAUGUGAUAGAAUUCAGGUUUUUUUUUUAUUCACAUCCGCUACAUUCCGAUUUAUCUUUCUUUCUUAUCUAGUGGUGGAUCCUUAUCUUAAGGUAGUAAACAUGUCUUCUUCUACCUCAAAUUUGCCAAUUGUUAAUAUCAAAACUCUCAUACCACUAGAACUCACCGAUUCUACAUAUCUUGUGUGGAAACAAGUCUUUCUUAAUGUUCUAGAAAGUUUUGAUGUUACAAAACAUGUGGACGGAACUAGUGUUGUGCCUUCUCAGACUAUCGAUACUGCUGAUAAGAAGGAGGUUAUAAAUCCUGAAUAUGUGAGUUGGAAAAAGAACGAUACUACUAUACUUUCAUGGAUUAAUGCCACUUUAUCUCUUAGCAUAUUACAUAUGGUUGUUUCUAGCUCACCUAAAACUGCAUAUGAUGCUUGGAGAAUUAUUGAGGCAUAUUUUCUUGAUAAGACUGCUUCCACGGCUUUUUCUCUAAAAUCUGAAUUGCGGAGCAUCAAGAAAGGCUCAAUGAGCAUGAGUGAUUACAUGCAAAAGAUCAAGACGAUUGGUAAUGCUCUUCAGGCGAUUGGUGAAAUCGAGUCAGACCAUAAUUUGGUCAUGACUGUUCUUCUAGGGCUACCUGAGGAAUAUCGAGGUUUUGUUAGUGCUCUAAACACACACAGAAAUAAGCCAACUUUUGAACAACUUCGUCCACUCUUGAUGCAAGAAGAAACAGAAGUUCAGCGUCGCACUAGUGUGACUACGUCCUCUGCUAUUCCCACUAUUGACAGUGAAGCUCUUUAUGCCAAUCGUGGACGUGGUAAUCGUGGAGGCCGUGGAGGUAGAUAUCGUGGAGGCCGAGGACAACGUGGUAGACACUAUUCUGGUCGUGGAUCUCCUGAAAUCUACCCACAGUCUCAACCUAAUUAUCCUCAACAAUCUUACACUCCAAAUCAACAACCAUAUAUUCCGAAGUCCGGCAUACAAUGUCAGAUAUGUGGAAAGUUCAAUCAUUCUGCUCUUCAGUGCAGACAACGCUUCAAUCAUUCUUUCGCUGCUGAUGAAGUUCCUCAGACCUUUGCUGCUAUGAACCUUCACGAACCCGGUGAGGAAGUCUGGUAUCCGGAUACCGGAGCAUCAAAUCAUAUAACCGCAAACUCUGGUAUUCUCUCAUCUUCUAAACCUUAUAGUGGGCAUGAAAAAAUUCUUGUUGGUAAUGGAAAUUUACUUGAUAUUACUCAGACAGGUGAAACUCAAUUGAAUACAUCUUCUAACUCUUUUGCUCUAAAAAAUGUUCUUGUUGUUCCUACUAUUAAGAGAAAUUUACUUUCAGUGCGUAAAUUCUGUCAAGAUAAUAAUUCUCUUUUUGAAUUUGACUCUACUGGUUUCUCUGUGAAGGACAAGGAAACAGGGAAGGAGCUUCUUCGAUGUCCUAGCUCGGGAACAUCACUUUAUCCAAUUUCUUCUAGACUUGCAAGUGUAGGGAAUAAGCAACAACUAGCUCUUAUUGCAUCUAGAUUUAGUGGAGAUGUCUGGCAUAGACGGUUAGGUCAUCCUAGUCUUCCUGUUCUUUCUACAUUUAUUAAAAAUAAUAAAAUUGUUUCUGAUUCUGCACUGAAAUUAUCUGUCUGCAAUGCUUGUAAUAUGGGAAAACAUGUUAAACUCUCAUUUCAUGAUUCAGAAUCUCAAUCUGCUUUUCCUUUUCAUAUUGUUCAUUCUGAUGUUUGGCAAUCACCUGUGCCCUCGGUUUCUGGAUACAAAUAUUAUGUUAUUUUUAUCGACGAUUAUUCUAGAUUUUCCUGGCUUUAUCUUUUAAAAUUUAAACAUGAAGUUUUUGACAAAUUUUUCGAGUUCAAGAAGAUGGUUGAAAAUAUAUUUCAUAGCUCAAUAAAAAUUUUUCAAUCUGACAAUGGUACGGAAUUUGUAAAUGACAAGUUUUCUAGUUUUUGCUCACAAAAUGGAAUUAUUCACCGAUUUUCUUGUCCUUACACUCCUCAACAAAAUGGCCUUGCUGAGAGAAAACAUAGGCAUUUAUCUAACAUUGUUAGAAGUCUACUAUUCCAAGCUGGCUUGCCUCCUCGUUUUUGGGCUGAGGCCAUUCAAACUGCUGUUUUUCUUGUAAAUCGACUUCCGUCUCUUACUGUUUUAAAUGGGCGGUCACCAUAUGACAUUCUCCAUGGUUGUGCUUCUCCUGACUUGCAACUUAUCAGAGUCUUUGGAUGUUUGUGUUAUCCCGAUGUUCAGGACAUUGCAGAUCACAAGCUCUCUCCCCGAUCACUUCCUUGUAUUUUCUUGGGUCUUUCUGACAAACAUAAGGGCUUUCGCUGCCUCUAUCCGAGCACUGGUAAAGUUUUUAUUUCUCGCCAUGUUACUUUUGUUGAAACUGUUUUUCCUUACUCUUGUCUGUCCAAAUUUUCUUCCUCAUCUUCCCCCACUACCUCAAAUUUUCAAAUGUUUCAACAUUUUCUUUCUAAUCCUCCCUUAUUGGGCGAAAGUCCUUCCUCUCUUGAUGCCAUCUCUGGUUUUUCCUUCACACGCCUUUCUCCGGAUGUUAGUUCAAAUGCAUCUGUUUCACCAUCUGAGACUGUAUCGACUUUUCCUUCCACCUUGAAUCAUGAUGCCACACAGGUUAGUGAUGAACAUGCUGCCACUGUUGCUGGUCCACCUGAACUCCGAGUCUAUACCAGACGACACACCCUCCGACCUUCUGCUGCUACAGCUUUACCUUCUCCUGUUGAGUUGACGCCUUCCACAUCGGACAGGCCACCUUCACCUCAGCCUGCAGAGCCUUCCUUACCAAUCCGGACACACUCUAUGCUUACUCGAUCUAUGGCUAAGAAUUUUGCUGGGUCUACCUCCUUCCUAGCUUCUACACAUACUACUCUUCCUACUGAGCCUAUCACUUUUCAUGAAGCUUUUCAGGAUGCAGAUUGGCGUGCUGCCAUGGCUGAAGAAUUUGAUGCAUUACUCACCAAUGAUACUUGGGAGCUUGUUCCUGCUCCUCCUUCUGUCAAUCUUAUUGGCUGUAAAUGGGUCUACAAAGUCAAACAGAAGGCGGAUGGCUCUCUUGAGCGUCUCAAAGCUCGACUAGUGGCUCAGGGUUACAAACAACAACAAGGCAUUGAUUUUGAUGAGACUUUUUCUCCGGUUGUCAAGUCGACCACUAUUCGUACUGUUCUUUCAGUCGCUCUCUCCUCUGGAUGGUCUCUCCGACAACUUGAUGUGAAGAAUGCCUUUCUUCAUGGCACUCUCUCUGAGGAGGUUUAUAUGAAACAACCACCUGGCUUUGUGCAUCCUUCGCUUCCUAGUCACGUUUGCCGCCUACGUAAAGCGAUAUAUGGUCUCAAACAAGCUCCUCGGGCUUGGUUUCAGCGUUUCACUUCUUUUCUUUCUGAGAUUGGUUUUGUUGGCAGCACUGCUGAUCCCUCAAUGUUUGUUUGUCAUUCUUCCUCUGGCACUCUUGUUCUCCUCUUGUAUGUUGAUGAUAUUAUUGUCACCGGCAGUUCCUCAUCUCUUCUCGAUGCUCUUAUCGUUACUUUACAACGCGAAUUUGCCAUGAAGGAUCUCGGACCGCUGCAUUAUUUUUUGGGUAUUGAGGUUCAUCGCUCUCCAUCUGGUCUUCAUCUAUCUCAACAAAAAUAUGCGCAUCAAUUGCUUCAGCGACAUGGUUUUCUUGACAGUAAGCCCGUUUCUACUCCUCUUUCGCCAACAUCUCGUCUCUCUUCCCAUGAAGGGCAUCUUCUUGAGGAUCCAUACACUUAUCGUCAGAUCGUUGGUGCUCUCCAGUAUCUCACUUUCACCAGACCGGACAUUUCAUAUGCCGUCAACUCUGUUGCCCAGUAUCUUCAUGCACCUCGUGAACCACACAUGCAAGCGGUCAAACGUAUUCUGCGUUAUAUUCGGGGGACGCUGACUUAUGGCCUUCCUAUCUCUCGCUGUGACAAUCCUUCUCUUGUGGCCUUCGCUGAUGCUGAUUGGGCUGGUUGCCCCGAUACACGUCGCUCUACUUCUGGAUAUUGCAUUUUUCUUGGGCCAAAUCUUAUCUCCUGGUCCGCUAAGAAACAACCCACCAUUUCUCGUUCUAGUUCUGAAGCAGAGUAUCGUGCUGUAGCCUACACACUUGCUGAGACAGUCUGGAUUCGUCGUCUCCUUCGUGACCUUCGUGUUUUCUUAUGGCGCUCUAUCAGUAUUUAUUGCGAUAAUCUCAGCACCACCUACCUUGCGGCCAAUCCUGUUCUCCGUGCUCGCACGAAGCACAUUGAACUUGAUCAUCAAUUUUUGCGGGAAAAAGUUCAGUCUGGUGAUUUGGCCUUAAUUCAUAUCCCUUCUGACAAGCAACUUGCCGACAUUUUCACCAAGCCCCUGUCAUCCUCUCGGUUUUCGAUAUUGCGGCUCAAUCUUCGCAUCCGACCACCGGAUGCUUAGCUUGCGGGGGGAUGUUACGAUAUAUUUUAUCUAUAUUAGGAUGUUACGAUAUAUUAGGAUAUUGUGUUUUAUUGCCUUAUAUAGAGUAGUAUCAUUGCCUUCUAUAGAGUAGGAUUAUAUAACAUGUAAUCCUAGUUAUACUCUUACUAUAGUAGUCAUUGUUACUAUAGUAAGACAAUCUCUUGUACUAUAUAUAUUCAUUAAUACAACUCAAGAGGGUAUACACUUUAGCCCUUCUUUCAACCGGUCCCCGAGAGCAAAUUCUGCAAUUGUGCAGAAUUGCACCAGCUUGCUCUCCGAGGCCCUCUUCAAUGCACUUAAGCACUUUUUGACGCCUUCGGCCUUUCCGAAGAGUACCCAACCGACAAUCGGUCGAUUCUAACCGAAGUUCAACUCUCGCAUUUCGAAAAUUCACUUCCUUAUAUAUUCCCUACACUUGCAACUUUAGAAGAGAUUGGAUAGAGCGAUGUUCCCGACCUAGGGCAUCGAAGAAGCUCCGUUCCUGUUUUCUUGUCCUUCAAAGAAAAACCAAAAGAGUCAAAUUCAAAAAAGGAAUUAUUGUCAUGACAGAAUUGACGCACUGAAAGUAAAUUUCUCUUAAUAAAAGUAACAACAAAAACAUUUUUAAGAGCAAAAGAGGUAGAAGAUGUACUCAAUUGAGUUUCACCUGUCUAAGUAAUAUUAAGUAAAUUUCCAUUACCAACUAGAAUUUUCUCAUGCCCAAUAUAAGGUUUGGAAGAAGAGAGAAUACUAGAAUUCGCAGUUAUGUGAUUAGACGCUCCAGUGUCUAGAUACCACACUUCCUCACUAGGUUCAUGAAGAUUCAUAGUAGCAAAAGUCUGAGGGACAUCAUCAACCACGAAUGAGUGAUUGAAGCGUUGUCUGCACUGAAGAGCAGAAUAGUUGUACUUUCCACAAAUAUGACAUUAUGUGCCAGACUUCGGAAAAUAAGGUUACUGAUUUGGAGUGUAAGGUUGAGGAGGAUUAUUAGGUGAAGGAAGUGGAUAGGUUCCAGGAGAUCCACGACCAGGAUAAGAAUUGUCUACCGCGCUGUCCUCGGCCUCCGCAAUGUCUUUCUCCACGGCCACCACAAUUACCACGUCCACGAUUUGCAUAAAAGGCUUCUCCGUCAACAGUGGUAGUAGAGGGCGUCGUUAAGCUAGUACGACAUUGGACUUCUGUUUCUUCUUGCAGCAAGAGUGGACGUAGUUGUUCAAAGGUAGGCUUACUUCUGUGUGUGUUUAGGGCACUAACAAAACCUCUGUAUUCUUCUGGUAGUCCUAGCAGAAUAGUCAUGACCAAAUUAUGGUCAGACUUAGUUUCACCAAUUGCCUGAAGAGCAUCACCAAUCGACUUGAUCUUCUGCAUGUAAUCACUCAUGCUCAUCGAGCUUUUCUUGAUGCUUUGUAAUUCGGGCUUUAGAGAGAAAGCCGUGGAAGCAAUUUUAUCAAGAAAAUAAGUUUCAAUGGUUUGUCAGGUAUCAUAUGCAAUUUUGGGUGAGCUAGAAAUUACCAUUUGUAAUAUACUAAAAGAUAGGGUAGCAUUGAUCCACGAAAGUAUAGUAGUAUCUUCUCUUUUCCAACUUAAAUAUUCAGGAUUUAUAACCAUCUUAUUAUUAGCAGUAUCGAUAGUCUGAGAAGGCACAACACUAGUUCCGUUCACAUGUGAUGUAACACCAAAACUUUCUAGAACAUUAAGAAAGACUUGUUUCCAUACAAGAUAUGUAGAAUUAGUGAGUUCUAGUGGUAUGAGAGUUCUGAUGCUAACAACUGGUAAAUUUGAGAUAGAAGAAGACAUGUCUGCCACCAAACUAGCUGUAUCAAACGCACAAGAGAUGAACCACUUAGCACCAAACAAGAACGGCCGCCCCAGGAAAAGGAUCGAGCGACACGAGCAACUAGUGAGCGGUACCAGAAGAGUAAAGAGGAUUCACAAAGAGGCUGAAAUUACUGUAGCAAAACUAAUGUAGCACUGGUACUGUAGUAGUACUGUAGUGCUGGUACUGUAGCAGUUCCGGAGAGAUAGAACACCAAAAAGAAAAGAACACCUAUGGCUCGGCCACUUCAAACAUAACUCGGCCCAACCUGCCCUCCCGCCUUUUCAAGUGACUCAGCCCAACCUGGCCUCCCGUCACAGGACAGGAUGCUGGCCUAUUUAAGCCAACAAUCCUUCCUCCAGCACCUACACACAUUCGCAGCAUGCGGGAAUUGAAUUCGUGACCUCUGGCUCUGAUACCAUUUGUCGGAUUUUUGGUGCUAACCAUUAAUCUCAAAAGCUCGAGCUAUUAAAAAUAUGCAACCAAUUUACUUAAAGCGUAUAAACACAUUGUGCAGGGGUCUCGAUUGUGACUCGGCUCAUCCAGCCUCGCACCACUUUAAACAUAACUCGGCCCAACUUGGCCUUUUGCCAUUUCGAACGUGACUUGGCCCAACUUGGCCUCCCGCCACUGGGCAGGAUGCUGGUCCAUUUAAGCCAACACAUUUAUGCCGAGGAAAGAUCAUAGGCUAGAGGAACCUGUGGAGGAGAGAGAAUAGCGCAAUAGAAAACUCAUUAAAUUUCAUCCAUGAAUAUUUGGUUCGAUGCUGAAGAAAAUGCAGAUUUUAUCUUGAGUACCUGUUUUUUGUUGAAGCAAACUAGUGGCUAUCAUGUCAGUAUAAAUAUUGUGUUACUAGCUUUUGCCAACUCUUGUAAAACUACAUUAUUCAUUUUGUGAUAAUCAGCAUGGUGGUUCCACUAAUGCUACUACAUCUUCUGAGAGCACAAAUUUCUAUUUUGAUGUCAACGUAGAUUGCUCCGAAGAGGCCUUGGAUAGGUAAAUUUUUUUUUCCUUUUGUUUUUUACACAGCAUUCCCUAAAGAUCAAGUUAAGGUGAAAGUUAUUCUUUGAUUUUUCACUUUCAGAUUUGCACAAUUCUUUAAUAAGCCGUUGAUGUCUGCCGAUGCCACUCUUAGGGAGAUAAAAGCUGUGGACUCUGGUCAGUAAUGCUGGUUUUUUAAAUUUUUCUCAUCUUGGAUUUCAUAGUUACUGUUCUGCAUAUUUUUUUGUCAAAUUUAGCUUUGUUUUCCUUUUUUCCUCCAGAGAACAAGAAGAACCUAUUGUCCGAUUCCUGCAGGAUGAUUCAGGUAAGUUUUCCAAAAUCGCAAGAGCCUAUUCAAUCAAACAUCUAAUUACUUUUAAUCGGCUUUUCUCAGUGCAAAUUAGCAUUUUAUUAUUAAUAUUGAGGAUCUCUACUCAACUAUGCAUAAUAAACUAUCUUGCAAAAAGUUAGUUGUGACAUUUAUUGUUGAUUGUAAAAUAACUCUUCUCAAAACUUACUCCCUCUUGUAAUUCUCAUCCUUACCAUUCUUGAGUAGUUGAUAUUGUUGAUUCCUCUUUCUCUUAUCCACUUUUACUCCCUCUCACUCUCUCUCUCUCUUCUGAUGGUGACACUGUAGUUUAAUUUCAGUCUUUGUAUCUCGAUCUUUUCAGCUUGAAAAGCAUCUCUCUUCAAAGGACCACCCAUAUCAUAAAUUCAGUACUGGUGAGUAAUCUUAUAAUCGACUAAUUAAUUGAUGUCCUCAUCACAAACUUGUUCCACACUAAUGUCUUUAUUUCCCUUUUAUUUUUUAUUUAUAAUAGGCUUUUUUGGGUCUGAAUGCAACUCAAAAGUAGUUUUAAGUAGUUUUAUGUCAGCAAAUGCGACUGCUUUAGUAAGAUGGGCAUUUUGCAACUUGCUUAAAAGUAGGAAAUAUGGCAAUGCCUCUAAGACCAUUCAUUGGUUAGAUUAGUUUUGGUUUUUCACCUUUACAAGAAAUCAUGAACACUAGUGUAGGGACCCGCGCGAUGCAGCGGGUAUAUAUUACUGGAGUUAAAAUUUCGUUAGUGAGAGCUACUCUUAGUUCUAACUACAAUAUUUUAAACAAAAAAAGUAAAAAUAAGUAUAAAAAAAUAAUAAGUUAUAUUUCUAUAUAAAGUGAGGCAUAGGAAGUUAUAGCAAGUGGUGUGCUUUUCAACUAAAUCUUUAUGAAAAAGAUACAGAUUACAUAAGGAGAAGAAGAAACAGCAGAAUACGUAAAAAGGAGGAGCAGUAAAUUGCUAGCAAAAGAAGAAGAAGAGAAAAUAAAAAGGGUAGAAGAUGCAGCAGAGAAGCAGUAGGCAACAACUCUUGCCAAUUGUUUUCAAAACUAUUCAUUUGCUCUACUACAUCUUUUUUCUAGAUAAAAUUCCGAGAUAUAUGCAAUUCAUCCACUCAGUCUAAGUAUUAAGGAAAAAAUAAUUUCUCAAACACAAACUUCCGAAAAAUUUGUUGAGUUCAGAUAUUUACGCUUUUCUCAAUAUUUUUCUGAAACAAAACAACUUUCUUUCUUGGUUGCAAUAGAUUGCUCUACUAUCUAACUUUCUAUCAUCAUUGCUCUUCUUUAUUUUAGCAGAUUCUCAAAAUGUGUGCCAGAAAAAGCAUGAAGAUCAAAUUCAAAUGUUUUUUUUAUCGUCACCAAUUUUUAUAUAGAUGUAAUAGAAGCAGCAUAAGUGGAAGAAGUAGCAACAACAGCAGCAGGAGUGUAACUCGAAAAAAUGAUGUAAAAAAAAACCAGGGUUAAAAACCGACUCGAAUUGUCGAAUCCGAUCGAUCAGAUCCCCAAAAUCAGCGAAUUGGAUUUGAUGCAAAAUUCUCCCGAGCGUUGCAAUUGGUCAAAAAAUUUUCAAUUGAUCUACCCAAUAUGGCCAAUCGAAUUGCCAUCCAACUGAUCGGAUGGUUCGAAGUAGAAUUAUGAAGCUGAUUCCGACUGGUCAGAUUUUCGAUCAAUUAGAUUGUUCAUAGAGGAGGCACCCCAACACUGUUCUCAUUUGUAAUAGAAGUUCAUUUGCCUGGCCUAUUCAUCCUAUAAUGUUGUUAAAACCUCUUAAUUCAUGUUAAUCAUAAAUAUAAUGUGAUAGUAUAUAUAUAAUUAUUUUGUUGUUAUUUUUUCUCUUAUAAGAUAAACAUCAAUGCAUUAUGCAGGAUAACAUAAUAGCAAUAGUGGUCCUCAGCAUGAAAGGCUCAUAGUGUGAAAAAUGGGAUGCUGGGUUGUGAGAGAACAUAGGCACAAUUGUUGGUGGAAAGUGACUCAAAGCCUUAUAAGACUCUUCAACCAUUCCCGAUACGCCAAUUGAGAUGAUGACCACAAACCAGUAUUAACAUCAUAAUUGCCACCGACUGUCCCUAGAGCAAGUGGUAAAGGGCUUGGUGGUUGGUACCCGAGACCUAAGUUCGAAUCCUAGUUGAUUCACAUUUCCAGCUAAGUUUGUUUCUAAAUGAAAUAAACGAAGCGGGUAGCGUGCGUGCUAUCUAUCUCUCAAAAAAAAAAAAAAAAAACAUCAUAAUUGCCACAUUACCCAACCAUUAACUAAUUGGGAAAGAAUUGGAAUACUGAUUCAACUCAGUUUGUUAGUUUUGAUAAUCGUCCUUCUUUGUAGAAGAAGAAUGAGCAAUAGAAAUUUUUUAAAAAAAUAAUAGAAGAAGAUUAAAAUAACAUAUUUUUUUUCAAAUUUUUAACUUAACCUUUAAGAAGAUUUACAAUACUUAAGAAGGGGAAGAAAUAGAAGAAUUGAUAGCGCAAAAAGAAGAAGAGAAAAAAUAAAAAGAGCUGAAGAUGCAAUGCUCUUCAUACAAAUCAACUUUAUUAACAUUCUUUUUUAUAAAUAAUAGUCAAACCAUUAUCUAAUUGCUGCAGAACAUUAUAAAAUACAUCAAAAUCUAUUACUUUUCUACAUAUUUGAAUACACAGGGUACAAAUUAGUUCAAAAUGCAUUCAUGUAGAGAGAGAGUGGGAUACCUGCGAGAAGAUUUUUCAACGAUUGAUGGUGAAACUUUUCAUGUUUCCAUGAUCCAAAUCUGAUAGUAACCUUCAACCCAAAAAAAGAAAAAUCCUUUUAUUUUAAAAGUUCUAACAUAGCGGAAAAACAUCAUUUGUUAUUUUGAAACUAAAAUAGGUAAAAAAAAAAAAAAAAAAGUCUAAACGUACCUUGAGCAAGCUAGGAAUAAUAAUAAUAAAAAAAAAUCUAAACAUAAUUAAUAAUAAUCAUAUUUUUUUUGAGGGUGUGAAAGUGUGAGAGAGCAGCACCUUCAUUGUCUCUAUCUUUGUCGCGCUCCCCCUCGCCUGCCGGGCCCUACGCACUUUCGUCAUCGUCGACACCGACGCCCUCGCUGUUACCUCAUCGCCGUGCACUACCCCACCCACCCUCCAUCGGCCACGUCAUUAUGUGGAAUCGAACUUGAUCUCAACAAAGCCGAAGGCUUCAUACUGUGCCUCCGUGCAAGCACCACCAUGGUGGCCUUCGAGUGCGCCGAGUCGUUAGAGAAGAUGAAUCGUGGGUGAGGUCGAAGAUGGGAGGGACCUUCAACACAGUAGGGGUCAUCAAAUACAGUGGAGUGGAGGAAGCGCUGGAAAGGGUAGAUGGAACAACAAUGCAUCUAGCCCUGUUUUCUGUCGAGAGGGGCUUCAGUUUCAGAAAACGAAUAAACGGCUCGAGAAGAGGAAAAGCCCAUUUCAAAAAAGAAGAUUAAUAGUCAAAAAAAAAAAAUGAAGAAGAGUAACAGUCAAAAAAAAUAAAUGAAGAAAUGGCUCAAGAAAAGAAAAAGUCCAAUUCAAAAGAGAAGAGUAACAAGUCAAAAAAAGAAGGAAAGCAAGCAUAAAAAAACCCACAUCCUACUAUGAAGGUUGGGCUGCCACGUGGAUUAGUUUUUGAGGUUUAAUAUAGGGUUAUAGAUGAGCAAACUUAUGAUCAACAUAAUGUAUUUAGAUAAACAAUGCUGAAUAUGAUAGAAUAUCUCCAUUGAUGAUUUUCUUUUGUCUUAUAGUAUUUGCAAGUGUUGGGAUAUUGUCAUGCCCCGGCACUGAAGCCCUACUAGGAGCACACACAAACUUGCCGCACGGACAUAAUUUCCCUUAUAUAUGCACAGAGUUGAAGUGCAAAGCAUCCGGCAAUUUUCAUGAUUUGCAAAGAAAACAACCUUGGAAUGUAAACUUUAAAGCAAUACCAUGAGUGUUCACAAAAGCCAUCAAGUUUCCAAUAUACACAAGUCCAACUAUAGAGUUUAGAAUAUCAAUGUAACAAUUAACCAAAAAACAUCUAAACUAUUAAAAUUUACACGAGUCCCAACUACAGAGUUUUGAAGAAGAGAAUACAAAGAGAAUACAAAUUCUUCUUAUUCAUUCAAUAAUGAAUUACAAAGAUAUAUAUACAUAAAUAUUCCUAUAAUAAGAUAUUUAAUAAGGAAAGAUCUCUAAAGAAAGAUGCCUAAAACUAUGCUAGCUAAAUAGGAACAUAAUAUAUACAAUUUUGACUUUCCAUAACAUUUUGACUUUCCAUAACACUCCCCCUCAAGUUGGAGCAUAGAUAUUAAUCAUGCCCAACUUGUUACAAAUGUAGUCAACCCGAGCUCCAUUCAAAGCUUUUGUGAAGAUAUCCCCCAACUGGUCUCCAGUCUUGAUAUACCCUGUUGAAAUGAUCUUAUGUUGUAUCUUUUCACGAAUAAAGUGACAAUCAAUCUCAAUAUGUUUAGUUCACUCAUGAAAUACAAGAUUAUAGGCAAUAUGGAGAGUAGCUUGAUUAUCACACCAUAAUUUAAUGGGUUGUGGAUUCUUAAGACCAACCUCAUCCAAUAAUUGUUGUAUCCACAUUACUUCACACACAGAUUGUGCCAUAGCCCUGUAUUCCGAUUCAGCACUUGAACGGGAGACAACACUGCUUCUUACUUCUCCACGACACCAAGUUACCUCCAACAAAAACACAAUAUCCUGUAGUCGAUCUCCUAUCAACAUUUGAACCCGCCCAAUCUGCAUCUGAAAAGCAUUCAAUAUUUGAAUGUCCAUGGUUCUUGUACAAGAUACCACGCCCUGGAGCUCCCUUCAGAUAACACAAAAUUUGUCCCAAAGCUUCCCAAUGAGUAACAGUUGGAGAAGACAUAAACUGACUUAAUACACUGACGGAGUAUGCAAUAUCUGGUCGAGUCACUGUAAGAUAGUUCAAUUUGCCAACUAAUCUCCUAUGCCUCUCUGGAUCUUCAAACAAUUCAUCAUCAUUAGCUGUAAGUUGGAGAUUAGGAGCCAUUGGUGCACUGCAAGGUUUAGCUCCUAAUUUUCCUGUUUCUGUUAAUAAGUCAAGCACAUAUUUCUGUGAGAUAAGAAGAUGCCUCUUUUGCAUCUUGUAACUUCAAUACCCAAAAAAUACUUCAACAUCCCCAAGUCCUUUGUCUGAAACUGGGUUUGAAGAAAAAUCUUGAGAGAUGAGAUUCCUGCAGUAUCAUUCCCAGUGAUGAUAAUAUCAUCCACAUACACUACUAAUAGAAUUAUACCAGUCUCAGAAUGUCUAUAAAAUACAGAAUGAUCACACUUACUCUUCUUCAUGCCAAACUCCUAAACUACUUCACUGAAUCUGCCAAAGCAAGCUCAAGGACUUUGCUUCAAGCCAUAUAAAGAUUUCCGAAGUCUACAAACUCGACCUAACUUCCCUUGAGCAACAAAACCAGGUGGUUGCUCCAUAUAUACCUCUUCAUGAAGAUCACUAUGGAGAAAAGCAUUUCUAAUAUCCAGCUGGUGUAAAACCCAAUAAGAGGUGGCCGCCAACGAAAUAAAUAAGCGAACAGAAGCAAGUUUAGCCACAGGAGAAAAAGUGUCGGAAUAAUCAACCCCAUAAGUCUGAGCAUAGCCUUUGGCAACAAGGCGGGCUUUGAGGCGAGCUACAGAACCAUCUGGAUUCAUUUUCACAGUAAAUACCCAUUUGCAACCAAUAGCUCGCUUAUCGGCAGGUAAGGGUACCGGUUCCCAAGUACUAUUAGCGUCUAAAGCCAUCAUUUCCUCUUCCAUUGCAGCACGCCAGCCAGGAUGAGACAAAGCUUCCACAACAGAUUUAGGAACAGAAACUGACUUUAGAGAGGUAAUGAAACAACGAGAACAGGAUGACAAACAGUCAUAAGAAACAAAUGAUGAAAUAGGGUAAGUACACGUAUGUUUGCCUUUGCGAAGAGCAAUGGGAAGAUCAGAGUCAGAAGCAAGGUCGGUGAUAGUAGUGACUGGAUCUUCCGACGAAGAAGCUGUCAUAUGGUCUGUAGCAUCAGAAUGGUCGGUGAUAGUACACGUAUGUUACUCUAGUGGGAAGUAACAGUAGAAGAUGCUAUAUGAGACUGAAAGACAGAUUAAAGACUAGAGUUACCUGUCAUAUGGUCUGUAGCAUCAGAAUCAAUGACCCAUUUAGAAUGGGAAGACACAAGGCAUGAUGUGGAUUUACCUGACUCGGCGAGUGCAGUGACAGGGGAACUGGUGGACUUUAAGGAUGCCUGAUAUUGGGAGAACUGUGCAAAUUCUUCAGCAGACACCAAAACAGUUUUAUCUGAGGAUGGGGUUGUAUACUCCCCGGUUGCCAUGUUGGCCAUCUGAGAUCGUUGGUUCUUAUUUUGAAGUUUCAAACAUGUGCGCUUUGUAUGACCAGGUUCAUGACAGUAAUAGCAAACAACUCCAAAAUCUCGAUUAGAGGUAGUCUCUCCAUGACGGUGAUUACCUCUAUUGGCAAUAAUCCCUCUAUUGACCCCUCUACUAUUAUGCCGUCCAUUAUCAUUGCGACUCACAAGUGCGCUAUUAGUAGAUUGAGAAAAUUGAGGAGUCUCCGUACGAAGUACUCAGGUGAAAGUAUCAUGGAAAGAGGAAAUCUCAGAGCUAGAAAGAAUCUGAGAUUUAGUUGUCUCAAAUUCUGGGGGUAAACCAGCAAGAAAACUCAUAACCGCCAUUUGCUCGCGUUGAACCUGCUGCACUUUUACAUCAGGACUAAAGGGUAACAAAACAUUAAGCUCUUCAUACAUUGUUUAAUGUCAAGGAGUGAUCCUCGAAAUCCGAGGAUUAGACUUCGGUUUGGAAUCGACUGUUCGUUGAGUGCGCGUAGGCUUCGGAAAGUCCGAAGGUGAUUAUAAUGCAUAAAGUGCAUUAAAGGAAGUCGGAGAAGAACCUCGCUUUUGAUGUUAUCCCGCCAAACACCCCUAGGGCUGGAGAUAGAAGCGACUGGACCUCGAAGUGGUCGCUCCCGAGAUUCCGGCUCAGGCCUGGGAUGGCGCUCGUUAUUCAACGAACCUUAUUGGAGAGGUAUCAAGAAAUUGCAACCGCAGAUUCGAAUCUCCAAAAAGGUGCGGCGCAACAUCGAGGCAAGGAACGAGAUGGCGAUUUCAGUGUGGACGCCAGUGGCGCGCUCCGGUUUUCGAAACGGUGGUGCGUCCGCCCCGAGAAUGAAGAGCUUCGCGAGCUCGAUCUUGCCGGAAGCCCAACCGGUCUCCCAUAUCGCGGAUCACCGGCGGCACCAGAUGUAUCAUUGAGUUGAGAGCCUACUAUUGGUGCCGGGGGAUGAAGGUGAUAUUGGGCGCUUCGUGGCAAGAUGCUUGACUUGUCAGCAAGUAAAGGAGGAAGCGCCGGUUCUCCAGCGAGGAAGCUUCAAAGCCUACCUAUUCCCGUAUGAAAAUGGGAGAUAUAUUCUAUGGAUUUCAUCGUUGGCUUACCUCGCUCGACAGGGGACACGAUGCGAUCUGGUGAUUGUGGACGCACUUGACAAAGUCAGCGCACUUUUACCGAUCCACACCACCUGGGCGGGAGAUAAAGUUGGCGCAGUAUAUCUUGGACGAAGUAGUGAGGUUACACGGGGUGCGAAAUCGAUUGUGCUCGGAUAGAGACCCCAAGUUCACUUCAUAUUUCUGGAGAAGCCUACGGGGGCCCUUGGCACACGCGAUUGAUUUCGGUACUGCAUUUCAAUCCCCGACAGGACGGACACAACCGGAAAGAAACCAUUCAGACUCUGGAGGAUAUGUUGCGACGCGUGUGUCAUCGAUUACAAAGGAGGUUGGUGUAGGUAUUUGCCAAUGGCCGAGUUCGCCUACAACAACAGUUAUCACGCUAGUGUGGAGAUGGCACCGUUCGAAGCUCUUUAUGGGCGGAAGUGCCGCUCUCCCAUUUAUUGGAGUGACGUGGGCGAGCGCACGGAAUUUGGCCCUGAGGUGCUGCGGGAGGCGGAAGAAAAGGUCCGCCUUGCUCGCAAACGAUUACUCACGGCGCAGUCUCGACAACAAAGCUAUGCGGAUAGGCGCCGACGAGAUUUAGAGUUUGCGGCGGGAGACCGCGUCUUCUUGAAGGUCUCGCCUAUGAGGGGUGUAAGGCGAUUUGGAGUUCGGGAAAAAUUGAGCCCCCGAUAUAUUGGCCCCUAUGAGAUCUUGGAGCGGAUUGGGACGGUGGCUUAUCAGCUCGCGUUGCCGCCGAAGCUAGCGGAUGUGCACAAUAUUUUCCACGUCUCCAAUCUACGCAAAUACAUUCCUGACCCCGAACACGCGAUGUUAUACGAGCCGUCGGAACUUCAGGAGGACCUGAGCUACGAGGAAUUCCCAGUGGCAAUUACCGCUCGUGAAGUGCGCAAGUUAAGGAAUCGGAAAAUUUCUUAUGUCCGAGUCCGGUGGAGCAAUCACGAUGAUCGCGAAGCCACCUGGGAGCUCGAGGAGGAAAUGAAGGCGAAUCACCCUCGCCUGUUCGAAGGUUAAAUCGAGGUAUGAGUUUAGAAUUUGGAAUUCUAGAUAAGUCUUGUAGUAUUGAGUUCGUUUCGAGGACGAAACUCUUUUAAGGUGGGAAGGAUGUAAGGAAGUGAAUCAUCGAAAUCCGAGGAUUAGACUUCGGUUUGGAAUCGACUGUUCGUCGAGUGCGUAGGCUUCGGAAAGUCCGAAGGUGAUUAUAAUGCAUAAAGUGCAUUAAGGAAAGGUCCGCGGGAGCAUCAGUGCAAAAUCUGCACUGGAGCAGAAUUGCUCUCGGGGACCGGUCCCUGGCAGGGAGGGACCGGUUCUAUCAGGCUGGGCUGCGGAGGUCUCUGAUGAGACCGGUCCCUGGCAGGCAGGGACCGGUUCCCGAACGUCAGCCCGGCGAGAAUAGCCAAAAUUUGGCUAAGUCCCGAGAAUCCAACUUUCGGGAACCGGUCUCUCGGACAAGGACCGGUCUGUCAGGCAAGGACCGGUUCCCGAACGCGAAAAUCCCUCUGCCCGAGAUGGCAGCCUUCGGGGACCGGUCUCCCCGAGCUGGGACCGGUCCCUCACUGCGAAAAUGCCCAAAGAGGGCUGGUUUGAAGGAUGAAAAGUUGAGGGGGCUAUCUGCAAAAUGGCCUUUAAUAGAGGUGGGGGACCCCUCUCUUUCCCUCAUUGCUCUCUAACUCUCUCACUCUUUCCCUCUCUCUCUCUAGAAAGAAAAGAAAGAGAAGAAGAAGAAGAAGAAGAAGAGAAAAGAGAAGGAGAAGAUCAAGAAGAAGGAGAAGAUCAUCUUCUUCCCUCUCUCCUUCAAGCUAGGGCAAGCUUGGAGCUUGGCUUAGAGGUAAGCUCCAAACCCACUCAUGGUAGAUUUCUUAGGAUUGGGUUUUAUUGCUUACAAUUGGUUCAAAUGGAACCUAGAGGAGAUGAAUAGGUGGUUCGGGCUUGCAAUCGAAGCUUGCACCACGGAUUUCCCCCUCGUUGCCAUUCUAGGGCACGGAUUCGGGAUUUUUGGAAAUCGAGGGUCUUGAUCUAUUCUAAUAGGUCGCAAAUCUAAUUGCUAGGUCCCGGAACGCGUCGGCGAAGUCGGUUUUUCGAUCCGACGAGCNNNNNNNNNNNNNNNNNNNNNNNNNAUUGCAACGACCCGACCCGCUAGCAAUAAUAACUCGUUGGGCCAAACCACUGGCCCAAAAUGCUUAAGCUCAGUUAUUACUAUUAGCGUGUAGGUCUCAUAUAAGCUGAUCGGAAUCAGUAUCCCAUCCAAUGUAGGACUAUUGGGGGUGUUACAAACUCCCCCUGUUUAGACCCUAACGUUCUCGUCGGGUCCAAACCAGAUCACAGACAGACAGACCAGGACCAUUACCAGGCGAUGUGAGAUUCUAGAGGUGGCUCCUAUGGGUUCAAGAGGUGGCUCCCACCAAACCCGUUGGUGUAGCACUUUGUCCCGCAUAGCACUUAGUUCUCACACUUCCGGUUGGUAUUCGGCCCUGAUACCAAUUGCAACGACCCGACCCGCUAGCAAUAAUAACUCGUUGGGCCAAACCACUGGCCCAAAAUGCUUAAGCCCAGUUAUUACUAUUAGCGUGUAGGUCUCAUAUAAACUGAUCGAAAUCAGUAUCCCAUCCGAUGUGGGACUAUUGGGGCGUUACAAACUCCCCCUGUNUGUCGAUUCUUGCAUCUUGUAUUAUUGCAUUAUAGGAUGAUUGUGCAUUGCCUUUCCUUAUGCUUUCCUUGAUGAUAUCGUAGCAUGUAUUGGAUACUUGAUAUAGUGGAUCGAUAAGGAUUGGGUCGAGAUUGUGAAUCCUAUAGUGCAGAGAAAAUGAUGGGCUCAAUGGUUGGUCUAAUGAUGAACAAAGAACGGGUGGCAUCUAGUCAAUAGUAAACCAUGAACGAGUGGCAUUUAGUUGAUAGUAAGCAAAAGAACAAAUGACACAUAUGACCGUAUCGUUUUGGGUUUCCAGAAAUGUACGACUUGGCACUGGAAGCCUCCGCCGCUCAUCUGUUUCCUUCGAACAUCUGAGGCAACAAAGGCAGCUAGCCAACAAGGCUCUGGGACAAUUUUCAGGGUAUUCACACAGCCGCAAGUGAAUCCCAACUCAAGAAACGCGUUCCGCCGGCAGUUUUGCUGGAAAAUGCCUCGAAACCAAUUUUCGGUUUCAUGAGGACUUCAGAGACUUGGACAAUCAGUCCCAGGGGGUCACAGUCGGUGGCUUCACGCUGCCCGAGGCAGCCUAUGCUGUCACAAUUGAGUAGAAGCCCCUAUACUACCAAUAAUUGCAUAAUAUAUACAUAAAAACAGUGUUUCAAGGCCGUUACUGAAAACCGUGCAACUUCGAGACCGAGGGUACCAGCGGGUAGGUCUUGAUGCAACAAACCCUGUGCUCGCUGUCCGAAGCACAAACGAUGGCCGAGGAGCGCGCCGGGUCGACGAGAGCUCUGACUAAAACUCCACUGGGAGCGACACGGUUGUUUCUGCCAACCAGAGCCUCUUCGACAGCAACUAGGGUGAGCACUGUGAUGUAACACCCCCAAUAGUCCCACAUUGGAUGGGAUACUGAUUCCGAUCAGCUUAUAUGAGACCUACACGCUAAUAGUAAUAACUGGGCUUAAGCAUUUUGGGCCAGUGGUUUGGCCCAACGAGUUAUUAUUGCUAGCGGGUCGGGUCGUUGCAAUUGGUAUCAGAGCCGAAUACCAGCCGGAAGUGUGAGAACUAAGUGCUAUACGGGACAAAGUGCUACACCAACGGGUUUGGUGGGAGCCACCUCUUGAACCCGUAGGAGCCACCUCUAGAAUCUCACAUCGCCUGGUAAUGGUCCUGGUCUAUCUGUCUGUGAUCUAGUUUGGACCCGACGAGUACGCCAGGGUCUAAACAGGGGGAGUUUGUAACACCCCCAAUAGUCCCACAUUGGAUGGGAUACUGAUUCCGAUCAGCUUAUAUGAGACCUACACGCUAAUAGUAAUAACUGGGCUUAAACAUUUUGGGCCAGUGGUUUGGCCCAACGAGUUAUUAUUGCUAGCGGGGUCGGGUCGUUGCAAUUGGUAUUAGAGCCGAAUACCAGCCGGAAGUGUGAGAACUAGUAUGCUAUGCGGGACAAAGUGCUACACCAACGGGUUUGGUGGGAGCCACCUCUUGAACCGUGUAGUCCUGGUCUUUCUGUCUGUGAUCUGGUUUGGACCCGACGAGGACGUCAGGGUCUAAAUAGGGGGAGUUUGUAACCCCCAAUAGUCCCAAUUGGAUGGGAUACUGAUUCCGAUCACUUAUAUGAGACUACACGCUAAUAGUAAUAACUGGGCUUAAGCAUUUUGGGCCAGUGGUUUGCCCAACGAGUUAUAUUUGCACGACCCGACCCGCUAGCAAUAAUAACUCGUUGGCCAAACCACUGCCCAAAAUGCUUAAGCUCAGUUAUUACUAUUAGCGUGUAGGUCUCAUAUAAGUGAUCGAAUCAGUAUCCCUCCAAUGUAGGACUAUUGGGGUGUUACAAACUCCCCCUGUUUAGACCAACGUUCUCGUCGGGUCCAAACCAAUCACAGACAGACAGACCAGGACCAUUACCAGGCGAUGUGAGAUUCUAGAGGUGGCUCCUUAUGGGUUCAAGAGGUGGCUCCCACCAAACCCGUUGGUGUAGCACUUUUCCGCAUAGCACUUAGUUCUCACACUUCCGGUUGGUAUUCGGCCCUGAUACCAAUUGCAACGACCCGACCCGCUAGCAAUAAUAACUCGUUGGGCCAAACCACUGGCCCAAAAUGCUUAAGCCAGUUAUUACUAUUAGCGUGUAGGUCUCAUAUAAACUGAUCGAAAUCAGUAUCCCAUCGAUGUGGGACUAUUGGGGCGUUCAAACUCCCCGUUUAGACCCUGGACGUCCUCUUCGGGUCCAAACCACAUCACAGACAGACAGACCAGGACCAUUACCAAGCGAUGUGAGAUUCUAGAGGUGGCCCUACGGGUUCAAGAGGGUGGCUCCGCCAAACCCGUUGGUGUAGCACUUGUCCCGCAUAGCACUUAGUUCUCACACUUCCGGCUGGUAUUCGGCUCUGAUACCAAUUGCAACGACCGACCCGCUAGCAUAAUAACUCAUUGGGCCAAACCACUGGCCCAAGUUAUUACUAUUAGCGUGUAGGUCUCAUAUAAACUGAUCGAAAUCAGUAUCCCAUCCGAUGUGGGACUAUUGUGGCGUUACAAACUCCCCCUGUUUAGACCCUGACGUCCUCUUCGGGUCCAAACCCCAUCACAGACAGACAGACCAGGACCAUUACCAAGCGAUGUGAGAUUCUAGAGGUGGCUCCUACGGGUUCAAGAGGUGGCUCCCACCAACCCGGUGGCUCCACCAAACCCGUUGGUGUAGCAUUUGUCCCGCAUAGCACUUAGUUCUCACACUUCCGGCUGGUAUUCGGCUUCUGAUACCAAUUGCAACGACCCGACCCCGCUAGCAACAAUAACUCGUUGGGCCCAAACCACUGGCCAAAAUGCUUAAGCCCAGUUGUUCUUAUUAGCGUGUAGGUCUCAUAUAAACUGAUCGAAAUCAGUAUCCCAUCCGAUGUGGGACUAUUGGGGCGUUACAAACUCCCCCUGUUUAGACCCUGACGUCCUCUUCGGGUCCAAACCACAUCACAGACAGACAGACCAGGACCAUUACCAAGCGAUGUGAGAUUCUAGAGGUGGCUCCUACGGGUUCAAGAGGUGGCUCCCGCCAAACCCGUUGGUGUAGCACUUUGUCCCGCAUAGCACUUAGUUCUCACACUUCCGGCUGGUAUUCGGCUCUGAUACCAAUUGCAACGACCCGACCCGCUAACAACAAUAAUUUGUCCCAAAAUGCUUAAGCCUAGUUAUUAUUACUAGCGUCUAAGUCUCUUAUAAACCCAAUGACAAUCCAUUCCCAUCCGAUGUGGGAUUAUUGGGGUGUCACAUGUGAUCAAUGGCACAUCAGGGUCACUAUGCUUACUUUUGGAGAGUUAAUGGCCUCUUGGAAUGCCGGAAUAGAAAGAUCGGUCCAGUUCAGCCCUAGAUCGGGCUUGGUAGGGAGCAAUCUUGCUCGGGCCAAACUCCUGCAGCACCGCGGCACGCUUGUCGGCAAGGGUCAGGUGCACUCGACAAGGGGGGUGGCGAUAAGGGGUCCUCCGGGAUUGACGGGAGGCGAUGACAGCGGCAACGGCGAGAGGCGGCGCAAAGAGUGCGGCUGCCUUAGCCCGAAACUGCAUCAAAAUUGGGUGCUGCGGCCGCGGCGGCGCUUGGUGGCGCCUGGGGUUGCCGGAGCAAGGUCGCCGGAGCCCUGGGGGAUGGGACGUCUCCAAGGGGCGCGGCCUUCCUCAGGUGUCUUCGGUUCGGAAAUGGGGUGAGAUGGAGAGGAGAUAGAUUGAGGGAGAGGGAGGAGAUGGGUAGCCGUGGUUUGGCCGGCUGGGCUACGGUCGCUGACGGUUGGGGGUGGGUGCGACACAAGCAGAGGGUGAGGAAGGGGCGGGUAGGGUUCGAAGAAGGUGAGGGGAAAGGGUUUCAUUUAGAGAAGAAACCCUUGGUGCUCCAUUAUGUAAUUUGGGAUAAAUUGCGCAUAACUCCACCAAACUUCAAUAUUUUUUCCCAAGUCCCUCACUGCACGUGUAAAACGCGCAAAGGCACCUCCACAUGCGAUUUCACGCAAUUUGGUACAUAAAAUAUUGGGAGUUUUUCAAAAACAUCAAUUUCCCAAUAUUGCCCUCUCCUCGGAAAAUGCAAAAUUUCGGACGACACGCUCGUCGGAUUUGCAAAUGGAUUGCACUAGCACCUCCGGCACUGCCAGACCAUCAGAUCUACAUUUUCGUUUCGCCUGAAUCAGUUGUCGAUUCGCGAAGAACCCAUCCCCUCUCGCCUCUCUCUAUAUAAUAUAUAUAUAAUUCAAAUUCAAAUUUAAAUUCAAUUCAUAUUUCCUUCAAAUUAAAAAUCUUGGAUAUUACAUGCGCGGUGGUUAGGCCCAAGAGGUUAAGAAGGUUAAGUAUGCUAAAACUGGAGUAGUUUUAGAAUGGGUGACGCCCCGGAAAGAGAGUUAAGUGUGAUAGGACUAGAGUAGUCCUAGGAUGGGUGACCCUCUGGGAAUUAGGGCGUCACAACAUGCUUCUAACUCCUAAGGCUUGCCAUAGGAUGGGAUCAUGUCACACACCAAACCUGAUACAUAAAAGACACCGCAUACCUACCAUUUUUUAAUUACAAACAUGCAAGACAACAAAAUAUGUAGAUAUCGAUAAAAAAUUUUCUACUUGAGAUCAAAUUGAAAUCCAAAGAGAACUUCAAUAAUCGAUUAUCCACAAAACUAAAAUCCAUAGGGCUUUUUUUGCAUAUUGCCCCAUGGCAAAUUUUUAUUUUAAAAAUAGCCUUAAAAUUUAAUUUGUAAAAAUGGCCCUGCGCCUGCCACGCAGGCGCCACAUCAGCGCCACACGGGCGGGGCCAGGGCCAAUGUGUUAAGUUAAACACGGUGAACCAUUCACCGUGUUUAGACAUGGUGAAUGGUUCACCAUGUUUACUACGUAUAUUUUAUAUGUUGAAAAGAGGAAUAAGGAGUAGGGAUGUCAAUAGGUAUGGAUAUCCGAAAUAUUAUCCGAGCCCAAACUCGAAUAAAUUAUAUAUAUAUAUAUAUAUACACAUAAUUUAAUUUUAUUUAUUUAUACAAUAUAUAAAAUAUUUAACCGUUCCUUAGAUCUUCAUCCAGCGGUUAAAUAUUUUAUAUAUUGUAUAAAUAAAUAAAAAUAAAUUAUGUAUAUAUAUAUAUAUAUAUACACAUAAUUUAAUUUUAUUUAUUUAUACAAUAUAUAAAAUAUUUAACCGUUCCUUAGAUCUUCAUCCAGCGGUUAAAUAUUUUAUAUAUUGUAUAAAUAAAUAAAAAUAAAUUAUGUAUAUAUAUAUAUAUAAUUUAUUCGGGUUUGGGCUCGGAUAAUAUUUCGGAUAUCCAUACCUAUUGACAUCCCUACUCCAUAUUUCUCCUUUUAACAUACAAAAUAUACAUACUAAACACGGUGAACCAUUCACCGUGUCUAAACACGAUGAAUGAUUCACCGUGUUUAACUUAACACAUUGGCCCUGGCCCUGCCCGUGUGGUGCUGACGUGGCGCCUGCGUGGCAGGCCCAGGGCUAUUUUUGCAAAUUAAAUUUUGACGGGGCUAUUUUUAAAAUAAAAAUUUGUUAGGGGGCUAAAUGCAAAAAAAGCCCAAAAUCCAUAACUAGAAGUUUCACAAUACUCAAAUUUUUUAAAUUCAUGAAAAAUUUCAACAAUUCUAAAUUAAACAAGUAACUUCUAUUUCAGUCAGAUGUUAAAUUUCAAAGCUAUCUAAACUAUAUAAAUUUAUUAACGGAAGUCCAAAACAAAUCAGCGUCUCAGCAACUAGCUAUCACUCAAUCCCAUCCUCUACAAGAUGAUCAGACAUAGUACCUAGGUGGGCAACUAUUUAUUACAUUAGUCGGAUUAAGCUUGGAAAACAAAAUAUGUUCUAAAUAUUCAAAUGUAAUUUUGUUACUAAAAAUAUAAUAACGAUGAUAGGGUUUAGCAAAAUUUCACAAAUCUCAUUUCAAAAUUUCAAGUCUUAAAACGAUCAUCUUAUACAAAAAUAAGAAGAGGAAUGGACUCCGAUAACUAGCGACCCAUUGGCAAAGAUCGUCAGCACACAUUAGAAGCACCCAAAGGCGUGAUCACAAAGCAAAAGCACCUGAAGGUAUUCCUAAAUAGCUCCCAAAGGCCCGCCCAAAAAAAAACAAAUGAAGACACGACACAAAAUUGCACUUAGAGGUGCAUUACAAAAUCAAAGCUAACUUCUAUUACAAAAUUCAAGCUAACUUCUAUUACAAAAUUUGUGUCGACAUGGCCAACAUCAUUAUAACAAUACCACAAGAGAUCACAAUUUCAAAAUAUUAUUUACCUAUUCAACAAUUUCAACGAAAACAAAUAAUUGAAUACUUUACCAAAUAGGCACAAUUUUCAAAGUACACAUUUUAAAAUUACUCAAUGAUUGAACAAAUCAUUUCACAAAUCCUUCAUUUUCGAUGAUUUAUAGUCUAUACAAACAUGCUCAAUCCUUAUUUUUGAAAAAAAGUAAGCCAAAAAGGUUUUUUUUCAUCAUAACUCAUCUUUAUAGUUUUAUCGAUAAUAAACUAACAGGAGUUAGGUCACUUAUUAUCAUGCCCUAGGCCAUAGCGGCUCGGACGCGUGAACAGAUUCGCUGUAUGUACGAGGACACACCCCACACAUAUGAAACGACUAAAAACAACUUGUACAACAAACAACAAGUCUUAAGAGAUUACAACUAGCAAGUAUCAAAGUCAAUAAAUAAACAAUUAAACAGAUAUAAUAAUCCAUGUACAAGUGUGUAUCCACAACUAUACAUCCAUACAUCUCCCAAAAAGUACAAUAUGCGAAACUUUGGCCUCGCCAAUCCAAAUGUAAAGUCUGCUACACGAGCUAGGGGUCCUCCUCUAUGCCACACAACCAGGGUAGAAGAUGCUAUCUACCUCGCAUCCCCUUACCCCGGCAAGAAGUAGAUGUUGAGGAUUCUGAAGUAGAAAAACAACAAAAUGGAGGGCAUGAGAACUACUGAAUAGUAGUCUCCAUUGGAUACAGUCAACGACAACGAUGACCUACACUACUAGGUCUACUAGAGGAAAUAAUAGAGAAUGACCCGAGUACAAUAGGAUAUAACUGAACCGAUAAUAAUACUAUCUAUCAUGCCUUUACAACAAAUAUUGGAAAGUGGUAAAUGACCAUCUCAUGCAUCAACUAAAUAAAGUAUGCAAUAUAACCCAAUCAUAUAUUGACCGACUCGGUAGUCCAAUCAAGCCGGCGCAGACUUAUUUCCAACACCUAUCUAUAGUGGCCCGCUACCAUGCGGGAUAAUGUCUUUGUCUCAAUCUCAGCCAAUCUCCGGAGUGGCACUCUGUGGGCACAGCUCUAAUUGAGUAUAAUAACAUCUCAAACUAUUUAGUUCGAUGUGGCUAGCAGGCUAUAGUUAUGAUGCGAUGAUCAACUAGAUCAUGAAGGAUGCUGUCCCAAUGCGCUUGGCACAAACACAUUAUAUCUCAUUAUAACCAUCGGCUACUAGCUCUUAGGGCAUAUUGAUAGUUGACAUACCAGUAUAAAAUUAACAUGUACCUAUAUCAUGCUCUCAAACACCAAUAUAAAAUUAACAUGUACCUGUAUCACGCUUAAUGAUGGUCUUAAGAGAAGCAAUCUUCUCUUCCAGUUCUUUGUGAGUGACCUUCUUCGUUUGAUUUGCUGUAGCCGACUGUUUUAUUUUUCUGUUCAGCCACGGCACGGGGUUUGAACCGCCCGCUUCGUCAUCGCUCUUUAUGGGCGGAUAAGGCGGCCGCUGCACAGGCUGCCUCCACGUAUUCGACCUUAUCUCAUUCGUUUCUUCCCAUUGGUUUCUUGCCUCAGCUUGUAUUCUUUGUUUGCGCCGUUUUUGUGUCUUCAUUAACAUCGGCCCAUGCCACCUGGCUGGGGCCUUUGCCAUGACCUGCUGGUCGGUUGGCACGUUGGCUAGUAUCUUCACUGUCGUGAGGUGCUCCCUCAGGAUUUCUCUCCUCUCCCAGGGUCUCGGCCAUGACUGAAUGCCGAGUUCGUUCACUAGACUCCGACGGAGGAAUUCUAUACUCCCUCGGUCAUUCCCUUAAACUCUAGUUUGGGUCUCGUUCUAGGCAGCUGGUGUCACGCCCCAAUUCCCGCCAAUUUGGUCGGGUUCGAGUCACGUCAACAGACGCCGAACGGACAGCAUCUCCCCUGUCCGCCCAAGGCUCUAACAACAAGUAUAAUUAAGCAAACAACAAAGAGAUUUUGCAAUUAUACAAGGCUUGCACGAGGGCAAGCAACAACGGAAGCAAAAGCUCUAAUCUAAAAUAUACAACCAUACAUGAUAUUUGAUUACAUUUCAACCAAAUACAAGUAAACUACAACUAUUAUAUUCUUUUUCCAUUCAACCAUAAUUUUUUACAUUUUUGUCAUUCUCCAAAAUAUAUGAUAUGUUUUCAACUUUACAAUUCUAAAUCAACAAAAUAAAAGUUGAUACAUAUAGGCAAAAGGAAUGACUAAUGCAUAAGUCCGGUGGCCACUAGCUAUGGCGCAAUACCCUUGCCUCCGUCCUCCGCCGCCCAGCUCGUGCUCGGACCUGUAGGGUUAGUGGUGUGAGAACUACAACGAAGUUCCCAGUGGGUUUGGCAACCGACCUCGCCGACUUACCCACUAGGUCUAAUUCAGGCAUAAGUAUUUCAAAGGAAAGAAAAUAGUAACCAUACUUGUAAUAUACCGAAAAUUCGGAAAAUAAAUAUCGAACUUUAGUCAAAUUGACCAAAGUGCGAGGACGGUACACUUCGGAAAGUCCGAAGGUGUUAAAAUGAGUAAAAGUGAGUUACGGGAGGUUUUCGAGAGCUAUAGAAUCAAAUUUGCAAAACUGCAGAUUUUGAGCUCUCGGGGACCGGUCCCUGGUGGGAGAGACCGGUCCCCGAACGCGUAUGGAAUGAGAUUGCCGAAAAAUCGGCUAAGUCCCUGAGACCAGCUCUUGGGAACCGGUCCCUCCCCGAGAGACCGGUCCCCCAGAGACCGGUCUCCUCAAAGAGAGACCGGUCGCAUUGCGCGCAGCAGCUUCGGCUGCGCUGGGAGAGCUCUCGGAGACCGGUCCUUAGUCGGGGAGACCGGUCCCCGAGCCCGAAAUUUGCCCAGUCCAGGCAGUUGAAUAAGAUGAAAGUUGAGGGGUUUAUUUGCAUUUUUGCAACCCAUAGGUUAUGUAGAGGGCUGAGAGAGCCUUUUCUCUCAUUCUCUCCCUCACACACACUCCCUUCUCUCCCUCUCUCUCUCUAGAAGACAAAGAAGAAGAAGAAGAAAGGAAGAAAAGAAGGAAAGGAAGGAGAAGAAAGGGAAGAAGAGAAUCAAAGAGCAAAGGGGCUUCAUCUUCUUCCUCUCUAGUGCAAGAAAGGAGAGCUUACAAGGUAAGCUUUGAACCCUAAUGUAGUAAAACCCUAGAAAUGGGUUUGAAUAAACCUAGAAAUGGAUUGUUUAGAGUUUUUAAAGCUUUCUCUUUGCUUCUUUAGAGAUCAAAACCUUGGUUUGCUAUAGAGGUGAGCUUGGACCACCUCUCAUGGUGAAAUCCAAACUAGGGUUUGGAGUGAGCUAGGGAUAGUUCUAAUGGACUAUUUAGAGUAUAAUGAAGCUACUUUCGCUUCUCUUAGAGAUCAAACCCUAGGUUUUGAUAUACAUGGGAGCUAGGGCACCCAAAUUGGGGCUUUUGCUCAUGAGGGUUUCUAAGUGCAAUUGGCCCUCUAGAAACCUAAUUGGGGGUAUUUCCGACGCGUUGGCUUGCGCGCUCGGAUUAACGUUCACGAAAAGCCGAUGCAAAGUUAUGGCCAAAUAAGCCUAAUUUGGCUUCGUUAUGGCCGCAGGUAAAGAACGAAGGGUCUAAAAUCCUAAGAAAAUCGUCGGAGCACCUAGAUAGACCCUCGAGGGUGGUGCUUCUCAAACUCAUUGAACUUCUCUCUAUGCCUAAUGUGUCAUUCAAUUGAGCAUAUGUAUUAUCUGUUGCAUGCAUUUUAGGUAAAGUGAUGAUGGGAAAUGCGAUAUUGCAUGAUUGUGAGUACAACUUGCAUAAUAUGAUGAAUAGAACCUUAAGAAUGUCGGAAACCCUAUAUGUCUGCAUGAGAGAAAAGUGAGCACCCAAAAUAGAGCAAAACAGAGUGACACAAUGACAUAGAUCGAGUGCAUUUGAUAAGUUAAAGUGAAAUGACACUAGAGAUAGUGUGAGGAAAAGAACCAUUGUAAUGUAAAGAAUCAUGAAAAUGACAAAAAUGUGUAAAGUAAAGUAAAGUGGGGCAAUGAGAAUAAGUAUUGUUAAUGAACAAGAAUGCUAGUGUUAGCAAGAGUAGAAAAAUGUAAAGAAUGUGAUUGCCAUGAGUUUGCAACGUAAAGUGAUAUAAAGAACACUAGAGCUAGUGGAAAGUCAAGAUUGACUUAUUAAUCCUUUGAGUUAAGGAUAUGAUCACACUUGCUAUGAGUUCCGUGCUCGAGGCGGUCGCUCCCCCUCGGGCGAUGCGCCCGGAGUUUUGCAUCACGGGUGGAGUACCCGAAGGACGGUCCUAGCUGGUGAGUUCCUGCGUGAUGGACUUAAUGUGAAGCAAGUUAAUGUGGCAAACUCGGACCGUUAGCUUGAGAUUAAAGAACAAAGAACAAAGAGCAAAGAAUAAAGAACAAAAGUACCAAGUAAAGUCAAAGAACGAAUGAGUUUUCAUAAUCUGCAUAUAUUAAUGUUAGCAUACUUCUUGCUAUUUCGUUCAGCAUAUUAGCAUCAUGUUAUAGAUUGGUUACUAUUACCUGCUUAUCCUUUCUAUUACUAGUUAGUCCUGUGGGAAAGUCGGUGAUGUUGAGGCCGAACCCACUGGGAACUUUGUUGUAGUUCUUCCACAGAGCCUGGGAUCCGAGCGAGCCGGCGAGGCGACCGCGUUAAAGGUAUCGCACCGUAGUCAGAGGCACCGGCAGUUCGAGUGUUACAUUUUCGUUAGCCAGUAAUCCCUUUUUAUCAUCUUUUGUAUUAUGAUAUUCAAGAGGUUAAUGAUAUAAGGCAAGAAAGAAUGUAAAGCUUAUUUUGGUAUAUUGUCAGCCCCGAGACCGCUGCCAAUUUGGUCCGGCCCGGGCGCGUCAAAACAGACGCCGAACGAACAGGACCUCCCUGUCCGCCCAAGGCUAACCAACAGAUCAUGUAUAAGAAUUACCCAGGAAUUAAUUCAUGAAUACACGAUCAAGAAGCACCACCAGUGCAACAGACGAGAGCAAGAUACAAGUAUAAAAAUAAUAUACAAGUACAUAAAGAGAGAAGAUACUAUCUAUUACCAUUCAUUAGCCUUUAUAUAUACAAUUUGAUUAACAUUAAGUUUCUUAACAUAAUAAAAGCUUACAUCUUCCAAAUAUAAACAUUAGCUUACAUUCAUCCCAAAAUAGCUCACAACCUAUACAUCAUCUACUCUCAAUGCAUAUAACGGUGACUCUAAUGCAGAAAUAGGAAAGUAACUAAUGCAACUAGGGCGCUAGCCCUUACCGCGAUCCUCGCCGUGUGAACUCGCGCUCGGCUGUAGUAAAAAUGGGGGUGAGAACUAACUCCUUAGUUCCAGUGGGUUCGGCCGCCGACUCGCCGAUCUCCCACUAGGUCCAAGUGGGCACAAGUAGAUAAUCGAUAGAUAGAUAGAUAAGGAAAGCGGUAAACUGACAGCAGUAAGCUACGCUACUAGCCCAAUCAUAAAUAUAUGAAUGCAUGUACAAUGAAAUGGAUAAACAACAAUCCAUUAUCAUGUCCAAAGGUAAAGUUAUUUACUCGUUCACCAAUCUUUCAUACUUGUUUCUAAAUCUCGGCCUCCCGAAAGGCCUGCUGCUCACUAGCCAUCUCGAAGGUAGGGAGGUCAACGCGCACUACGAACCGAGACCGUCUGCGGGGCCUAAAAUAGGCAAUCCCUGGGACCCGAAAUCGGCAAUCCCACGUGACCAACUCCGGAGCGCCAUACUUGUUGGGGCUUCCAUCACAAGAUUUAAAACAGACCGUGAGCAUGAUCCAAUCCUCGUCUCGAGAAUACCCUAUCCUUUAUGGUUACAACCAUCAUAGGAGUCCAUAGUUUCAUAUACACUAUGACUCACAUAUGCCAUUUGUUCUUUUGUUUACUAUCAACUAGAUGCCACUCGUUCUUUACAAGUUUCCAAUGCAAUAGCCAAUGCAUUAUUAAAUUCCAUCCACACUUAUCAUCUCAUUAUAUUCCACAUCACAUUAUAUAACCUCAAGCAUGCUAAUAUAAGUAUUAAGCCAAAUACAUUAUUCUACCAAAGAACAUGCAAGGUAUAGGACCAAACCAUCAUUUAUCACCCUAUAAUGCAAGAUGUCAAUAUGUCAAUAUGCCAAUUUGAUCAAUAUAAAACUAUAGACAUAAAAGGGAGCCCGAUUGCUUCGGGAUGGACACCACCCACCUUUUAUUGGCUAUCACGAGGGCUAGGGUUCCAAUUUCGUGAUUUUUGGAAGCUUUCGCCGCAAGUGUGCGGCAAUCUGUACCUUAACGGCUUCUCUUUAAUAUCUUCGCGUACGUUCGUCGUAUCGCCGAAUCGACUUCGCCAUCGCGUCAGAAAACCUAGCAAUUAGGUUUAUACAUGAUCAAUUUAGAUACAAAACCCCUCACAAGUAAAACCCCUCUUUGAUGCCCUAACAUGCAACUUGCAAGAAUUCAUCAUUUGAUCUCUAUUCCGAGCAUCAACCAUCUAUUUAGCAUCUAGGAGUUUCACUAAACCGCAUUUCUAAGGCAUAUAAAUCACUACUUGGUAAUCUACCAUUGUGCUAUCAAGCUUACUCUCAAAACCCAAGCUUCUUCAAGCCAUUGAUGAGAAAAAGAAAGCUUCACCUCUAAGCAAGCUUUUUCUUCUCCAAAUCCACCUCCAAUUCUUUGGUGGAGAAGUUGCUAGAGAGAGAGAGAUCUUUCUCUUUGGUGUGCAUUGUGAGGAAGAAGAGAAAAAUGCUACAUCCUUCAUGUAUUAUACAUAUAGGAAACUUGACCUCAAGUUUUCCAAGAACACUAUUCACUCCAGGCAGAUCAAAUCUGAUAUCUUUCGCCGGAACUCCCUGAACAUUCGUUUAAGCUCAAAUUUGACAGUUAUGUUCGGUUUUACUUAGCGAGUCCAAAGAAAUUUUAAUAUUUCAGUUUCGACCCCGUUUGGUCACCGAAAACUGUACCGAACUGCAAUCUUUAUCAGAUAGCUUUCGGAUUUUAUUUCUCACUCUACGGGUGUCAGAAAAAUAUGAAACCUUAAAUCUAGCCUCAUAAAAAUAUUUCUGACAUAUCCUCCAAUUUUCAUAAUUUUCUGAGACUGUGCAUUUUCUGCUAAUAUUUCUGUCCCGUUUCCAACGGAAAAUUUCAGAUCUUCUGUUUUCAUCCCGAUUUCAGCACAGGUCAUUCCCAACUUAUAUUUCACUUUUAUAUUAAAAAUCCGGUAUAUUACAUUCCACCGCAACCUCACCGGAAUCAUUCAAAUGUGCACCGUAACUUCAUUGUUUUAGAAGUCCGGUACCUUACAAUAUGUGAUGUAAGAAAGAAAUGAUGGAGUGAUGUAAUGAAAUACAAAGAAUCCUAAAUGUAAGAAAUGGAUGCAAUGUAUAUGAUCUAAAAUGAAUCAUAUUACUUGUGUAGAAGUUUAGUUUUCCUAUCUUUCACUAAUGGCUAUUGCUUACCCUCGUGUAAGCCGUUUAUGUAUGUUUCCGCUAGUGCAUUUCUCGUUGAAUUUGUACGUGUGAUGAGCCUUGGGCGGAUAGAGGAAACUCUGUCCGUUCGGCGUCUGUUUGACGUGCUCGGGUCGGGCCAAAUUGGUAUCGGUCCCGGGGCGUGACAAUACUAAUGCUAAUACUAUACCUGCAAGAAAUCUGUCAGUGGAUAUAUAUAAUCGAAGCAAUAUUAAAUAUGCAUGCAUGCUUUCCAUGAUUUUACUUUGGCUUUUAUCCAAUCUUACCGGUUAACCUUGUUAACCCCAAAAACUCACAACCCAAAUCCCUUUUAUUCGGGGAGGCUCUAAGCACUACAAGACCCAAGGGACCGUCUUCGGGGACCGCGCUCCCCGUGGUGACAAUUCCGGAACGCACCGCUUGAGGGGGAGCUACCACCCUCAAGCCAAGACUUAUCGUGAGUAUCGAUCCAAUUCCCACUUAGAGAAAGUAUAGCCACUAGCCACAAUGCCACUAUCAUAAUAGGUUUCUACCUAUUUAUUCAUGCCGCUCUCUAGGUCAUUCUUGCCACCGUGUCAAUAUGGUUAAACUAUGUUUAACAAUCAAUUUCUCCAUGCCAACCAUGUCUCUAUUGUCAGUGUCACCUUUAUUACUAUUGUCCAAGUCCAAGUUUCACAUUCAUACAAGUUUAGGGUCUCAACAUGUCCAUUAUGAUUCUAUCAUUCUCUAUGUCCAACUACAUUAGAAGCAUACAAAUGAUGUCUAAUCAAGUUUUACAUGUAAAAUUACCCUACAUGCAUGAAUGAAUCUAUAUACUAGUAUACUCAACAAAGGUGAAAAUAGACAUAAAGAGGAAUCCGAUGAUUCCGGCGUGCACCCCCCACCUUAAAUAUUGUAGAUGGGUUGUAGUUUGACUCGUGAUUUUAGGAAGCCUCUCUCGCAACCUAAACCCAAAAUAAAGCCAAAUUAGGCCCUAUAUACUAGAUCUCAUACUAAACCCUUUCGUAACGUUAAACGGAGUUGUCCCACGCGUCGGGAAUACCCAAUUAGAUUUCCAAGAGGUCAAUUUGCCUCGGAAAAAUUCUAGGGCAAAAGCCCCAAUUUUGAGCCCAAACAAUGCUAUUUUAGGUUUUCUCCUAGAUUGAUCUUAUCCUUAAGCAAAAGAUAGCUUAGAAUCAUCUAGGAAGUUUUCUAAUAAGGUUUCCAAGCCUUUAGAACCAUCCCUAGGGCAUCUAUUGUGAACCCUAAUAAUCCACCAUGGGAGCACCUAAAGGAAACCAUGGUUUUCAUGGUGUUCUUGGCCCAACAAAGCUUCUAAACAUAAAAGAAGCUCAAAACCUUAGAUUCCAUGGUGAAAACCCAAACCCUAGAGUUCUACAAGCAAGAGAGCUCACCUUAGCCCAAGCUUUACCAAGCUUCUUCUUGUUGGAGAGCUUCAAGAUCCUCCAAAUCCUCCAAAUCCAUCUUUUCCUUGCUUCUUCUCCUUCUCCAAGCUCUAGGAGAUAAUCAAUAGAGAGAAUGGGAAAAAUGAGAGAAAAAGAGUGGAGAGGUGUUUGCUGCUGUGAAGGGGGUGUUUGGGGACAUAUGGGGUGUGCCACAAUUGCAAAUAAGCCCCCCAACCAUUUUUAUUUGCAGCAGAUCUCGUAGGUGCUGCCAGACUAAAGUGUACCGGUACACUUUGGGCUGUUACCGGUUACACGAUUACGCAGAGGCAACCCGAGAGCAUUUCCCUCGGAUUUCACCAAAGUGUACCGGUACAUUUCCUACGAAAAUUCCAAACGCGAGAGCUCACUCUGCUCGGGCUGCUGGGCUGUUACCGGUGACAACUCGAUGGUUGUACCGGUACACUUUGCCCGGAAUGCAGUUUUAGCUCCGAUUCGACUCUACUUCGUGCAGGUCGAUGCUAAAACCCCUCUAACUCUUUCUAAACUUACUUUUAGCCCUUCCAACAUUAUUGGAAUGCCAAUUGGAACUCGUCCAUCGAUCUUCUUCGCAUACUUUAGUCAAUUUGGCUAAAGUUCGAUAAUUUCUUCCGAGUUUCAAUAUGUUACAGCUGGUAUGGCGGGUCGAUAUCCUGGGUGCCUUUGUUGGAUGCCGAAGGGUUGUUUUGGGUAAUCCUCUCGGCUUGUUUGUUCUCUCGUAUGGUAGUAAUCCUCUAAGACUUUCUAGAUCAAGAGAUCCUUUUUAUCUUUCUUGGAUACUACCUCUUCCUCGGACUCGUUUGAGGCCUCUUUCGAACAUUCGUUUAAGUUACCAUUGGCCUCUGGUAAGUCCUCCCAAUUUUAGGGAAGGCCAUAGAUUCCUUCUAUUCCCUGUACAACUUUUUUUUUUUUCCUGAAUGAUAGCUUUCCAAUCUCGACGGGUCAUUUCGGCCUUGCAUUUGAUGCAAAGCCGAAGCGCUCUCUUCGUACUGGUUAUAUCCUCCUGGAUCUUUUCUUCAAGCGGCUUUUUCCCCUUGACAUCCACCAUGUUGACCUGAUAGGGAAACGGGUUUUGGUCAACUUCCAUAUCACUUCUUUUUUCUUGGUCGGCAAACACCAGUUGACCUUCAUUUAUUUCUUUUUGAAUUUGCCUUUUGAAGGCUGUGCAAUCAUUAGUUCAACAGCUCCAGGAAUGGUGCAAUUUGCAGUAUUUUUUUUCUUCAAUUCCUCUUCCGGAGGUAAUGUUUGUCCUUGAAGCUUAAUUCUGCCAUCUUUAUACAACCGAUCAAAUAUUUGACCGGUGUUGGCAACGUCAAACGUAUAGGUGUAUGUCGCCAGUCGGCUUUUGUUUCACCAGCUAUUGCUUGUUUGAGCAGCGCGCAUUUGUACGGCUGCGGUUUUUACCAUCUCAGCCGCAUAAAUUUCGGUCUCGUUAGCCGAGUCUUCUGUCUCGCUUGAGGGAUUUGGCUAAUCCUGAGCCGAAGUCUCUUCAAUGAAAGAGACAUUCUUCUCUUUCCCUCUGUUCCUAUCCUUGUUUCGGCCCCAUCGUGGCCGAUCCUCAUUAUUUUCCUUCCUAAAUUGUUCUUAAUGGGCAACUCAAACAUCUAAGAAUAAAUUCGAAAAGUAUUUGUCUUCAAAAUGGUCUUUUAUCUUAAAAUGCAAACCAUUGAACACCAUUUUGGCGAAUUCUGACUUCAGCAUUCUUACGAAACACCGGUUUCUAGCCAUUUUGAAAUGGUUCAAAUUUUUCUCGACCGAUUCAGUCGACUUUUGUCGCUGUAAGGCCACGCCGGCCACCAAUAAUUUUGGUUCCGACCUAUAGAAUUGCUCAUGAAAUUUUCUUUCCAAUUUGUCCCAAUCUCGGACGAAAUUGGCUGGUAAACUUGUAUACCAGGUAAACGCCGUUUUAGUUAACGAUGUGUUAAAUAAUCGAAGUUUCAAAAAUGGGUCUCCGACUGCUUCUCUACACUGGGCCGUGAAUCGGGCUACAUAUUCUACCGUAUUCUCGGUCUCAUCGCUCGAGAACUUGUCGAAUUUCGGCAUUUUCCAGUUUGUCGGGUAUACGAAAGUGCUACUGAUACUUAUAACAAGCAUAUAAUCUUAAGCAGUAUAUGUUGGGGGUACAUUCUAAAUUAUUCAAAAUAUAAAUAUCUCCUCAAUCCUUUCUCUUUGAUUUGAGCACGAGGGACAACGGGUCGUCGAAGUUGGUCGGUGGCGACGUCGGCAUAGCCGGCGGUGGAGUUGGCAGCGAGUCGAUUGUAGAAGCUGAAUCUCUGUCCUUCAUUUUUCUUUUACUUCUUCUUCUCCCUCUGUUACUUCCUUCUCUCUUUUUUUCCCUUUUUUUUUGCUCUUGAGUGUGUGUGGAUAGGUUUUUGGGUGUAUGUAUGCCUGAGUGUAUGUGUAUGCUCUCGGUGUGUGCUGGGCUCCUUCGGUGACAAGACGGCUCGAGGUGACCCAUGGCUAGAUCCGCGGGAUCUUCGUAUGGUAACGCCGAUGGGAGACGCGAGAUGCGAUGGUGAUGAUGAUGCUUUCGGAGUAGCUAGAUUUUUGGCGGCAUAUUCGGGAUUUGCCGAUGCGAUUUGAGGUGACGGGGGCGCGAUCUUCGAGAUUCGUGUACGGGACGGCGAGAUUCGUAGAAUCUCCGAGGUUGAGGUGACAGUGAACGGCACUGGAUUUUCGAGAUUUCGAGAUCAACUUGAGGAGAUGGUGAACGAUGCGGGGUCUCCGGGAUCACGAGCUCGCUGACGAGCUCCUCGGGUUGGGGUGGCGCUGCUAUGGAGAAACGGGAGACAAGGACUAACCCCUUUUGUUUUCCUUUUCUGUUUCUCCUUUUCUUCUCCUUUUUUCCUUUUUUUUCUCUCUUUUUUGUAUGGGUGUUUUUUGGGCUUUGUUUAUUUUAGGUAGGUCCAACAUGAGCCGCGGACUAAAUCCGUACCGCAACCUGGACCACCUGAUCCCACAUGUCAACUAAACCCUGAGCAAUACAUUCUUAUUGACCUGAAACUCCAGGUCAUGCCGACAAAAGUUCGGGUAAUUUCAUUGCCGACUUAGCUAAAUCAAGAACCUUUGCGUCGCGAUGCGAAACUUGAUCAAAGAGUCCUUCACCAUAUUUGGCCCAAUCACCGAUCGCUCACCGACAUCAUCUCCACGUAUCGUGAACCAACGUCAACGCUCACACAAUACCUCUUAAAGAGCCAUCUCGAUAUUCACCAGACGAUUGUUGUUGUAAGCGAACUCCACUAGGGACAAGUACUUGAAUCAACUUUUGCUCAAAUCCAACACACAGGCCUUGGCCAUGUUCCCGAGGGCCUGAACAAUAUGCUCCAACUAACUGACUUCGUCAACCGGCCCCCCAUGACCUAAAACGCGACGUUGCCUUGUGGCAGAUGAGGCAACCCGACAAAGUCCAAUGUUAUUCGUUCCCACUUCCGCACCAGCACAAGGGGGGUUACAGCUUAUCCGCUGAUUGCUGAUACUCAUCUUUUGCCUGCCAAUGCUUCAAGCAUUGAGCCACAUUUUGUGCAACCUGUGCCUUCAAUCGAGACCAAUAGUCUAUCUGUUUAAGAUCUCAGUACGUCUAGAUACUGCAGGGUUGCACAAUAUAAGGAGGCCGGUGUGCCUCAACUACUCUCUCUCGCCUCAUGUUGAUUAAUCUAACAUACUCAAAUGGUCCCUAAAAGAUCAUGGUAUAGCAUUAUUAAUGUAUAAAACUAUAAUUUUGGUUUGUUAUCGAAGAUUCUGCGAUUCAGAAUCCAACCAGCUGUGCUGUCUAGAAUGUAUCGUCUCAAACGCCGUGCUCAUUGUUCGGAGCGCGAACAGUGACCAAUGAGUGCGCCAGAGCAACUUGAACUUCAUAUUCCAAGUACUACGGGAGCGACAUUGUCCAACCAGCAAUACAAGGCCAAUCUGAUUGCUGCAAAAUGGAGGACGGUGACCUACAAGCCCUCAAGAAGGCCGUGCUCACUUGUCGGGAGGUCGCUAGCGCCGGAGUUGGCUGGAACAAAAAGGUUGGCCACAAGAAACCUUAACCCUGAGGUUGCUCUGGAGUAGGCUAUUCCUUCUGGGGCUCCAGCAGCCAAGAAAGGCAGCUUGGCUAGGAGGGUGUCGUGGCCGACUAGGAGGGCUUCGAGGAGGCGGCGUCCGGCAACGUGAAGAGGCAGCGGUGGGGAGCUGCGAUGGUGCCUGAUCUGGUGUUGCAGCCAAAUGUAUUUCAGCUCAGGAUCAAAGUUUGAUCCCGGGCUCGGGUGGCCACGGUGGCACCAGCGCUGGCCAGAGUGGCAUCGCCAGAGUCUUCGGAAGUCAUCAAGAGGCGACUGCGUACGUAUGUGUGGGAGAAUAAGAAAGAGAGAGAAAGCUCAUAGUGCGGGUGAGAAAAGUCGUAGGGGAGAGUGAGAGAGAGCAGGUAAGGACAAGAGAGAGAAGGACCUUAUUUUAGCUAGAGUUAGGGCUUUUGCACAUAAAUAUCCAAACUUUAUAAGUUAAACAAAAUAGUCGAACGUGGGUGCUGUUGGAGGGGACGGUCACCUGGGUGGGAGCAGCCGUGGGUGCUGCUGCUUGCUGGAGAGGGAAAGCAGAGACAGUUGCAGCAGUGGUGCCGUUGUUCGAGAGAGAGAGAGAGAGCUCAAGGGAAGUCAUCAAAGCUUCGACCCUUUUAGCAAGGUGGCCGGCGACAACAGAGGAGCUUAGGCACAUGUUAAGGGUAGUAGCUUUUUUUGGGGGGGUGGCCGGCGACAACAGAGGAGCUUAGGCCCACGUUAAGGGUGGUAGCUUUUUUUGGGGGAGGACAGAGCAAGCUAGGGUUUUUAAUAGCUAUCUUUAAGUGUGACGGUUGCACUUAAUUCUCCGGACUCUUUUCUUCUCUCUGUUUCAGCCUUCUCCUAGCUAAAACAAUAGAAAAACUACACUUUAAACCCUGAAAAAUGUUAUAUAUGAAAUGUAGCACUUCUGGAAUUUUGAAUUUUUAAACUCUCGGUUAUUACACAUGCUAUUGCUAACAUCAAUAUUUGACCUUAAAACCUAAAUAAGAAAUUCUUUGUAUUAGUCUCUUGUUUCUGUUAUUAAUUCUUUAAUAUGCUUCUUUGAUACUUUCAUAGUCAUAAAAUCUAUUUGCACUUUUUAUAUGCUUUAAUUGCAGUUUUCUCUUUGAAUACUUAAAUAUUGUUGUGAUCUAUUGUAAUCUGGUAAUUUGUUACAUGACAGACAUUUUACAAUAAUGCAUAUCUCUUUGGAUAUAAUGACUUGAUAAAGUGAUAUUCAGAUAAUUAGUGUACAUGGUCGGUUGUCUUCAUGAGCUUUAAAGGUGUAUUCGCUGAACUUUAAAAGCUAAACAAAUGGUGUUUUUAGGGGAAUAAAUAACCUAUGCUUUGAGUUUUAAAUCAAUAACUUUCAUUGUGAUACUCUUGAUCAAUGAUUUCUCAUUAAACAAAUGGUGUUUUUAGGGGAAUAAAUAACCUAUGCUUUGAGUUUUAAAUCAAUAGCUUUCAUUGUGAUACUCUUGAUCUAUGAUUUCUUAUCAUAUUAUUUUCUAUAAUAUGCUGGCUAGUUUCUCCUGUGUUUUGCAUGAUAUUUCCACCUCGUGUAGCAAGUAUCCUAUUGCUUUUCCUUCUUCAGAGAUUGUCCAACCAAGGUCGGCAAGAAUUUUGAGACCAAUUGAAUAACCUUUCUCAUACACUUCUUUCCUAAGUUUCCUUUUAAUUUUAGUUACAAUGAACAUAUAUCCAUUUUAUGUGAUGUUUUAUAUAUAUAUAUAUAUAUAUAUAUAUAUAUAUAUAUAUAUAUAUAUAUAUUUACUAGCAUGACUUGUAAAACAAUGUAUUAUUGCCUGAGAUGUAAAUUAGUUAUGAUUCAUUGAAAAUCGUGAUGUUUCAGGAAACUGGGAAACAUUGGAAAUUAAACCAAAAGAGAAAGGCUUGGACAUAAGACUUGAGCUAAUUAAAUUCUAUGAAGAAAGUUACUCGGCCAACCUCAUGCACCUUGUUGUAUAUGGAAAAGGUCAUAAAUUCGUAUGUAAUGUUUGUGUUAGUGUUCUAACUUCCAUUUUGAUAUAUAAAUCCUCGACCCUUCACUUGAUGUUUGUAGAAAGCCUUGACAAUUUACAAAGUCUAGUGGAAAGCAAAUUCUCAGAUAUUAGAAAUAUUGGAAGAGAACAUUUUCAAUUUCUUGGUCAACCUUAUUCAAGUGAACAUCUUCAGGUAUGCUUGUGUCUGACGAUGUUUGAUUACCUGUAGACAACAACACUUGGCACCAAUAUGUUCUGAAAUUUGGUUUUUGCUGCUGUGCCACAGAUUCUGGUAAAAGCGGUUCCAAUAACGGAAGGUGAUGUAUUGAGAAUAAAAUGGCAAAUCACUCCUACCUUACGGUAUUACAAAGAAGGGCCUUGCAAUUACCUUAGUCAUCUUAUUGGGCAUGAAGGAGAGGGAUCUCUAUUUUAUGUUUUGAAAAAGUUGGGUAAGAUCGACUCCAGGGAGCUUGAAACUCUUUUCAUAUGUUACUGAAAGUGUUGUUAGUUGUUACAUACGGUGACCUAGUAUCACAUGCAUCAUAAAGUCAAAAAGUUGAAAGCAUCUUAAAUGUUUCAAGCGUUAAUAUAAUUUUUACUGAUCUAAAACUCCUUAUGGUUCCUGCAUUAUUUGAUCUUUUCCCGAUUGCAGAAAGAUGGAUAAUCUUGGUGGAAGUAUAUGUUUCUAUAUUCUUCACUUUUGGUUAUUCAAUAUACUACAAUCUCUUCGUGAAUAUUUUAGAAUAUUGACUUGCUAAAUCCCCACAUGAUUCAUGAGAGAGAAAGAGAGAGAGAGAGUAGUAGUGAGGUAACAAUCUUUUACAUACAGAAAAGGGAGCAGGAAGGUAGAAAGAGAGAGAUAAGUAGUGAGCUAAAAAUUUUGAAGUAUUUUCCUUGCAUGCUGAAAGGGGAGCAGGAAACGGGUAGGGGCUUAGGUAUGUUAACAUUUUACUUGCCAUCGACUGGAAUUGUUUUAGGAAUAUGGACCAUUUGUUGUUAGGUACUUUUUUUCAAUGCUCCUGUCAUAAGUUGUCAAUCAGUUGCUUGUAUGCCAUAUAUAUAUAUAUAUAUAUAUGCAAAAAUUAAACAAUAUUGUACAUUCAUUAGUUACUACAAAUUAUCUAACCUAAUUCAAGAAUAAUUAAUAUUGCAGGAUGGGCUCUCAGUUUGGUAGCUGGGGAAGCAGGUGCCAACUUUGAAUAUUCCUUUUUCUUUGUAAGCAUUGGGCUCACUGAUGCAGGCCAUGGUCAGAUCGCUUCUAGCAUUUUCAUUGCUGAGAGUUUUAUGAUUGCAUAACUUACUAUAGACACGUACAAUGGUUGCAGAGCAUAUUGAAGAUAUCAUUGGGUUGUUGUUCAAAUAUAUACGCCUGUUGCAGAAUUCUAGAUUCCCAGAAUGGAUUUUUAAUGAGGUAGUAGAAUUCAGUCAUCUCAAGUUAAACUUUAUUUUGGAUUAUAAUGUGAAUAAUAUCAAGAACUAUAUGAAUGAACAUGUUAAUGCCCAUAAAAUUGGUCGGCCCAUAAAAUUGGUCGGCCAUUUAUUACAUGAAAAUGCAAUGAGCUACAACAAGCAUCUGAAUUCAUAAUCUUUCACCUUUUAUUUAUCUAGUUAAAUAGAUAGAUACUGAGUUUCUAAAGCUUGCAUGUAUAAAACUACUUACAUUGACAAUUCUCUUCUGUUUUAGCUACAGAAGUAUGGAUUUAGGUAGUUGAGGCAAAUUAUGUAUGAAGGUAUUAUAGCUAAGUAUCUACGGCCAACAAUUCAUUAAAAAGGAGGAAAUUAGGAAAAUAAGUGAUGAAAUUAGGAAAUUAAGUGAAGAUUGUGUAUUUUCUGUCCAAUACAACUUGAUUUACUAAACCCUUACAUGAUUUACAUUGUAGUUUCAUACUUAAAAUAAAAUAUCGCACAUUAGGUAACUGUCUCAUAUAUUAGUUUAGUCUUGAGAAUGCUAGAGAAAGAAAAAUCUAACAAAUUAUUUGUAUUUUAGAUUUCAGCGAUAUCUAAGACACAGUUUCAUUAUCAAGACAAAGUCCCUCCAAUUAGCUAUGUUGUUAGUAUUGCUUCAUGCAUGCAGGUAUGCCAAAUUAUCAUCACUUUCCUGUAUCGGAAUGUUUAUAUCCUUUUGAAAGUAAUUUAAUCAUAUUCAUUAAUGUUGGAAAAAGAAAAUGAUAUUCUUGGUAGAUCUUAUUGUGAAUCUCGCUAUUUGCGAAAGUUCAGUGCAUUAAACUUUAGAACCAAGAAAAGAAAAAUGUAAUAAUAAAGAAAUAACAUGUGCGAAUUAUAACUUGAAAUACAAGCAUGCUUUCAUUUGCAAAGAGCUAAAUAACACAUAACAAUAGUAAGAUAAUCACAAGCAAGGAAUAGAGUAUAAAUUAUGUUCAAGGGAACUAGUAUUAAAUUGGUACACAAUCAGACAUAGUGUUAGCAAAAUCUCAUAAAAAUUCCAGAUUUUUUAGAGAUCGUUCCACCUGCAAGCUUGCCAUGCAAAAAAUUCAAUAACUGACCAAAUUUAAUAUAACCAUCUUUGGUCAUCCACAAUAUAAGCUAAUUUUGAACUGGGUAUUUCAUUUCUUGCUUGUAUAUGGUGUGAUUAUCAGCUAGAUAUGAAAACUUCUAUCUGCUUUUAGUCUCUACCAAUCAUUGCCUCUAAAUGGUGUAAUCUUAUCUUUUUUGUGAUUGUGCACAAUAUUUGGAAUGCUAUUUAUAAUCAAGAUGUGAUCACUCAUUUGAUUUUUAUAACCUGAUUUUGUUAACUGAUAUGCUAGUUUUUCCCACCGGAAGAUUGGUUAGUCGGAGGUUCAUUGCUCUCGAAGUUUGUCCCGAGCAGAAUACAAAUGAUACUGGAUGAGCUGACUCCCAGUAAAGUUAGGUAAGCUUGCAUGAUACUUACUAGUUUGUCAAGGAAGCAAGGUUUUAAGUGACCAUUGGUACAGAUUGCAUCCAUCAUUCCGUAUCGUGCCGACAAAAUAUUAGUAUGAUAUGACUCCUCUGCCGAUAGCAUGGCUGAACAUUCUUAUUUUAUUUUUUUGAAGUUAGAAAGUAGUAGUCUUAAUAAAGUGCAAAAUAUUUAAUAAAGAUAUAUAAUAUGUAACUUGAAUAUGUUAGUGCCAAAGAAAAUUUUUUUUUUUUUUUUGUCAUAGUGUGUUGUCACACAGGUAUUUUUCUAAUUGACACACAUCAGCAUGGUACAAUAUGCACUAUGUUGUACUGCGCCAGUGAGGUCUUGGCAUGACCCUGUGUCAUGAGCACUUAAAUCUUUGCAUAUACAGAAGUAUUUUAUUGAAGCUAUUAAGUCCAACAAUUUUGACAUUAUAUGCAUACGCUAAGUUCCAUGCAUAAUUAUCCUCAUUUGCUUUUCUAAAGUUAUUAAAUAUUAACUUCAACAAAUGUGUCAUGCCUUGUUGUUAGAACAUGGCGGCGUGACUAGAAACAACUAUGUGAUGAUGAUUUUAUUACUGACUGUGAAAUAUGGUGCAUGAUCAUCUACAACAAUUAUUUAGAGUUGGGUCUGCAAUAAACCAACAAGGCUAGAGGAUAGGUUUUAUAGCUACCUUACUAAAGUGUGGUAAUUCUACAGUAGCAUAAAUACUUUCCUGCUAAGAUGUCACUAGUGAGAUUUUCUUAGUGCUGUCUACUAACAAAUUGUGGUAUUUGAAAUGGUAGUAGUAAAUGUCAGCCCUGUUUAGUGUUUUUUUUUUUUUUUUUUUUUUUUUUGUAUGUGUGUUCUGUAAACACAAAUUCUAUGUUUUGGAAUAUGCGAUUAGAUGCAGAAUGUUUAGCAAUUCAUACAUUUGGAUUAUUUUGGCAACAAAAAGAAAAAAAAUAUAUAGUAACUUUUUUGGAUUCUUUGUUCAUUUGAAUUUGGCAUCUAGCUGAGUUGCUGUGCAAGCCAGACUUAAGAUGACAAUAUUAGAUCAGUUCAUCCUCCAGUCCAAUGACAUAGAUGUUCAAUUUAGGAAGGAAAAAAAAUGCCAACAAAUAGCAAAUAAAUUCAUAUGGAUUUUGGCUUGCCACUAAACUGUCCCGCAGUUGGGUAAAUUUUCAUUCUCAAGCAGCCGAGAAUUCUAUGAUUUACAUUGACAGCAAGCUUACGAUCGAUUCUUGUUGAUCAAAAUUAAUUUUUAUAAUGAGUAUCCAUGACAAGAUUUCUUUUCUUUUUCUGCGCUUCAAGAAUUUAUAUUAUAACCAUAUGAAAUUAUAUAUAUACACACACACUAAAUAUAAAAGUACGUAUUUUGAAUUUGGGUUUAUCGACAUAUUCACUUUUUGGAGGGAAAAGAAACUUUGAUUCCUCUUUAACUUACGCAAAAUAAAUAACAUAAUGAAACAAACUUUUAAUUCCUCUUUUUCUAAUGGAUAACCUUUCAUUUUUUUUUUGGUCAAUUUGCAUAAAAAAUCCACUAAUUUUGGGCUUUUGCAAAAGUGGGCCACCUUUUUCGUUUUUGCAGAUUCGGUCCGAAUUUUCAACAAACUGACCAAAAUACCCUUAUUACUUUUUCUCUCUCCUUUUUCUCUCUCUUCUUUUCUCUCGUUCAUUUUUUUCUUCUCUCGCCGAAGAAAGCAGCGGAAGCAGAGGCGGAGGCGGAAACGGCCCGCCUCGCCUCUCACCCUCAUGCUCUCGCCCUCGUCUUUGCCCUCGCCCGCGCACCACCCACCUUCCUCGCUUCUGACCCUAUCGAGGCCGCGCCGCGACUCUUUUUUUUCUCCUCUCCGACUCUUCUCCACCGUCUUCGACAACGAUGCCUCUCUCGCCCUUCCUCGCCCUUCUUGUCCUCUCACUCUCCCUCCUCUGCCACCUCCGACGACGAUGCAUGGUCGCUGCGACGCUGCAGCCUCGGAGCGGGGGUUCCUUAGCGGCGUCGUCGCCGGUGCCAUGGCCGUUGGCAGAGAGAGGUGACAAAAAAAAAUUAUAGAAGAAGCAAGAAAAAAAAAUUAAGAUAAAAAAUUAUAGAAAAAGAAAGAUGAAGAUGAAAUUGCACCGUUAAAAUAAAAUUGUACUGUUUUAAAAAAACAUUGCACUAUUAUGGACAUAAGUUGUACUAUUUAAGAUGUAAACUGCAGCUUUAAGAUAAAAAUUACACUUUUUAAACGAAAAUUGCACUCUUUGUAAGAUAUUUACACUGUUUCUCCUCUUAUUGCAUUCUUUUAGAUGUAAACUGCAUCCAUUAAGAUGAAAGUUACACUCUUUAAACAAAAAUUGCACUCUUUGAGAGAUAUUUACACUGUUUCUCCUCUUGUUGCAUCCUUUGAGAUGUAAACUGCACCCCUUUAAGUUGCACUCUUUGAGAGAUAUUUACACUGUUUCUCCUCUUGUUGCACCCUUUGAGAUGUAAACUGCACCCCUUUAAGAGAUAUUUAUACUGUUUCUCUUCUUGUUGCACUAUUUUUCCUCUUGCUGCACUAUUUCUCCUCUUGUUACACUAUUUUUUCUCUUAAACUGCACCCUUUAAGAGCAGAAAUAGUGUAACAAGAGAAAUAGUGCAGCAAGAGGAGAAACAGUGCAACAAGAGGAGAAACAGUAUAAUUAUCUCUUAAAGGGUUGCAGUUUAUAUCUCAAAGGGUGCAACAAGAAGAGAAACAGUGUAAAUAUCUCUCAAAGAGUGUAACUUUCGUUUAAAGAGUGUAACUUUCAUUUUAAUGGAUGCAGUUUACAUCUGAAAGAGUGCAAUAAGAGGAGAAACAGUGUAAAUAUCUCUCAAAGAGUAUAAUUUUCGUUUAAAGAGUAAUUUUCAUCUUAAAGCUGCAGUUUACAUCUUAAUAGUGCAACGUUCUUUUAAAAUAGUGCAAUUUUAUUUUAACGGUACAAUUUCAUCUUCAUCUUUCUUUUUCUGUAAUUUUUUAUCUUUAUUUUUUUUUCUUGCUUCUAUAUUUUUUUUGUCACCCUUUUCUGCCAGCGUCGGCGACAAUGCCGCUAAGCACCCUCGGCUCUGCAGCCGCAGCGACCUCCACGGUGUCGGUGUCGGCAAAGAUGCGUCGUCGUCGAAGGCGGCAGAGGAGGAGGGAGAGGGAGAGGACGAGAAGGGCGAGAGAGGCGUCGUCGUCGGAAACGGUGGAGCAGAGUCGGAGAGGAAAAAAAAAAAGUUGCGGCGCGGCCUCGGCGGGGUCGGAGGCGAGGAAGGUGGGGGGUGCGCGGGUGAGGGCGAGGGCGAGGGCGAGGGCGAGAGCAUGAGGGUGAGAGGCGAGGCGGGCUGUUUUCGCUUCCUCCUCUGCCUCCGCUGCCUCUUUGGCGAGAGAAAAAAAAAAUGAACGAGAGAAAAAAAGAGGAGAGAAAAAGUAAUAAGGGUAUUUUGGUCAGUUUGCUGAAAAUUCGGACCGAAUCUACAAAACGAAAAAGGUGGCCUACUUUUGCAAAAGCCCAAAAUUAGUGGAUUUUUUAUGCAAAUUGGCCUUUUUUUUUUUAAUAAUCAUUCAAGAUCUUUUCCUUUUGAGUGAAUAUUUUUAGAUUAUUUCAGUGCUAUCUUCUAAUGUUUAGUUGUUAUAUUAACUUUUUAUUAAUUGCCACAAAACAAUCAAAUUUGAAUUUUAAUUUCAAAUAUAUAAAUAUAUAUAUAUAAAUUUUAACCUUAUUUGAUUUUAAAAUUUUAUUUCAUUUUAAAUGCAGAGUUGAAAUUUAAUUAUUUAAAUUUCUAAAUUUAUAAAUUAAAGGGCUUUUUUUGCAUUUAGCCCCCUAACAAAUUUUUAUUUUAAAAAUAGCCCUAUCAAAAUUUAAUUUGCAAAAAUGGCCCUGGGCCUGCACCACAUCAAUGCCACGUGGGCAGGGCCGGGGCCAGUGUGUUAAGUUGAACACGGUGAACCAUUCACCGUUUUCAAACACGGUGAAUGGUUUACCGUGUUUCAUAUUUGUAUUCCUUUUUUUUCUCUUUUUCAAAAGUCCAAAUCCGAAUCCGAAAAUCAAAUUAAAACCCAAACCCGACGGAUUUUAAAAAUUCAUACCCAUAUCCAUAUCCGACCAAAUACUUGAAACCCGAACCUGAACCCAGCGGGUUUUAAAAAUCUAUACGGUUGGAUAAAGAUCUAAGUAAUAAAAAUUAUUAAAUAUUUUAUAUAUUGUAUAAAUAAAUAAAAAUAAAUUAUGAAUAUAUAUAAUAUAUUCGAGUUUGGGUUCGAAUAAUAUUUCGGAUAUCCAUACCCAUUGACAUUCCUACUCCCUAUUCCUCUUUUCAAUAUUUGUAUUGCAAAAAAUACGUACUAGCUCUAAACACGGUGAACCAUUCACCGUGUUUAGACACGGUGAAUGGUUCACCGUGUUUAACUUAACUACCGCCCCCAGCCCCGCCCGCGUGGCGCUGACGUGGCACUUGCGUGGGAGAGGCAGGGCCAUUUUUGCAAAUAUAAAUUUGCUGGGGUUAUUUUUAAAAAUAAUUUUUUUCAGGGGUCCAAUUGCAAAAAAAGCCCUAAAUUAAAAUAAAAUUUGAGUUUAAAGGCCAAUUUGCAUAAAAAAUCAAUUAGUUUUGAGCUUUUGCAAAAGUAGGCCGCAAUUUUGAAUUUUGCAGAUUCGAGCCGAAUUUUCAGAAAGAUGACCGAACUACCCCUCUUUCAAAAUGCAUAAAAAGUACAUGUAUUAAUUGUCUAGAAAAAUACAACUGCUAAACUAUUAAGUGUCAAAUUUUUGAAAAUUACAACUGCGAAGCAAUAAUUACAUGUACCUUUCUCGUUAAACGAGAACCCUCAUUGAAGACAAAAUAAAAAGAGUAAAGUAUAAUUAAUAAGAUGAAAGAGUUCAACAUCCUCUCAAAUAGUGCAACAUGCUCUUCAAAAUAGUGCGAUAUCUGUAUAAGUAGUGCAAUAUAUGCAUUGUUAAUACACAUUUUGAAUGAUUUUUACACUAAAUUACGAAUAGCAUAGUAUAUUAUGCGAAAAUAAUAUAAUAUAUUACAAUGUACUAUAAAAAUUAUAUAAUAUAUGUAUAAACGGUGCAUAUUUUACACCAUUUGUGUAAACGUUGCACUAUUAUAAGAGGAUGUUGCACCAUUUAGAUGUGUGUUGCACUCUUUCCUUUUGAAAUUAAAUUUCAUUGCAUAUUAUAUAAAGUGUCAAAUUUUUUGGAAAUGAUAACUGCUAAGCCAUAAUUAUAUGUUCCUUUCUCGUGAAACGAGAAUUCUCAUUCAAGACAAAAUAAAAAGAAUAAAGUGUAAUUAAUAAGAUGAAAGAGUGCAACAUCUUCUCAAAUAGUGCAACAUGCUCUUUAAAAUAGUGCAAUAUCUGUAUAAGUAGUGCAACAUAUGCAUUGUUAAUACACAUUUUGAAUGAUUUUUACACUAAAUUACGAAUAUAUAGUAUAUUACGCGAAAAUAAUAUAAUAUAUUACAACAUACUAUAAAAAUUAUAUAAUGUGUAUAAACUGUGCAUAUUUUACAUUAUUUGUACAAAUAUUUGCACCAUUUGUGUAAACGUUGCACUAUUACGAUAGGAUGUUGCACCAUUUAGAUGUCUGUUGUAUUCUUUCUUUUUGAAAAUUAAAUUUCAUUGCAUAUUAUAUAAAGCGUCAAAUUUCUUGGAAAUGACAAGUGCUAAGCUAUAAUUAUAUGUAUCUUUCUCGUGAAACGAGAAUUCUCAUUCAAGACAAAAUAAAAAGAACAAAGUGUAAUUAAUAAGAUGAAAGAGUGUAACAUUCUCUCAAAUAAUGCAACAUUCUCUCAAAUAAUGCAACAUGCUCUUUAAAAUAGUGCAAUAUCUGUAUAAGUAGUGCAACAUAUGCAUUGUUAAUAAACAUUUUGAAUGAUUUUUACACUAAAUUACGAAUAUAUAGUAUAUUACGCGAAAAUAAUAUAAUAUAUUACAACAUACUAUAAAAAUUAUACAAUAUGUGUAUAAACUGUGCAUAUUUUACACUAUUUGUACAAAUAUUUGCACCAUAUGUGUAAACGUAGCACUAUUAUGAUAGGAUGUUGCACCAUUUAGAUGUCUGUUGCACUCUUUCUUUUUGAAAAUUAAAUUUUAUUGCAUAUUAUAUAAAGUGUCAAAUUUCUUGGAAAUGACAAGUGCUAAGCCAUAAUUAUAUGUAUCUUUCUCGUGAAACGAGAAUUCUCAUUCAAGAUAAAAUAAAAAGAACAAAGUGUAACUAAUAAGAUGAAAGAGUGCAACAUCCUCUCAAAUAGUACAACAUGCUCUUCAAAAUAGUGCAAUAUCUGUAUAAAGUAGUACAACAUAUGCAUUGUUAAUACACAUUUUGAAUGAGUUUUACACUAAAUUACAAAUAGUAUAGUAUAUUACGCGAAAAUAAUAUAAUAUAUUACAAUAUAUUAUAAAAUUAUACAAUAUGUAUAAACGGUGUAUAUUUUACACUAUUUGUACAGAUAUUUAAACCAUUUAUAUAAAUAUUGUACUAUUAUGAGAGAAUGUUGCACCAUUCCAGAGAAUGUUGCACCAUUAAAGUUUUUAGAUAUUACACUAUUUGGAAAAGCAUAUUGCACUAUUUGAGAGGAAACAACACUCUCUCAUCUUAUUAAUUAUACUUUAUCCUUUUUAUUUUGUUUUGAAUGAUGAUUCUCGUUUUACGAGAAAGGUACAUAUAAUUAUGGCUUAGCACUUGUCAUUUCUAAGAAAUUUGACACUUUAUUUAAUAUGCAAUAAAAUUUAAUUUUCAAAAAGAAAGAGUGCAACACACAUCCAAAUGGUGCAACAUCCUCUCAUAAUAGUUCAACGUUUACACAAAUGGUAUAAAUAUCUGUACAAAUAGUGUAAAAUAUGCACCGUUUAUACAUAUGUUAUAUAAUUUUUAAAGUAUGCUGUAAUAUAUUAUAUUAUUUUUGUGUAAUAUACUAUACUAUACGUAAUUUAGUAUAAAAAUCAUGCAAAAUGGAUAUUAACAAUGCAUAUGUUGCUCUACUUAUACAGAUAUCGUACUAUUUGGAAAAGGAUGUUGCACUAUUUGAGAGGAUGUUGCACUCUUUAUCUUAUUAAUUAAACUUUAUUCUUUUUAUUUUGCCUUGAAUGAGGAUUCUUGUUUUACGAGAAGGGUACAUGUAAUUAUGGUUUAGCAGUUGUCAUUUCUAAAGAAUUUGACACUUUAUGGCUUAGCAGUUGUAUUUUUCUAGGCAUUUAAUGCAUGUACUUUUUAUGCAUUUUGAAAGAGGGGUAGUUUGAUUAAUCUGCAAAAUCCAAAAAGACGGCCUACUUUUGCAAAAGCUCAAAAUUAAUAGAUUUUUUAUGCAAAUUGGCCGAGUUUAAAUUGUGAACUAAAUUUAAUUUUGGAUAUCAACUUUGAGUUAAGAAUUUAAAAAUUUAGUUAAAGUGGAUUAAAUUAAAAUUUUUUUUUGAAUUAGGUGUGAAUUAAAAUUUUGAUAAUUAAGUUUAAAAUUACAUACUUAAAAUUUUGGGUCUGUCAAAAUUCGAAAAACAUACAGAAAUAUUCAUUAUAUAUAAAAAUUAAAAAAUAGAAAUAUAGAGUUAGGAUAUGACAGAUAUUGUUUAAUAAAUUAUAACAUAUGAGUUUAUUUCUUUAUUUAAAUUUUUAUUGUAAAUUUUUUGACAAAUACGAUAUACUAAUUUAUGUUGACUUGAGAUAACUACUAAAAUAAUUAAGAUGUUCAUUUGCAUGUACACUCAACUAGUGUGUGUGUGUGUGUAACUGAACUUCCAUGUAUACUCCUGGAGAAAGAGCAGUUUCUUACACAAGUGCCUUAGCUUAAGUUGGGUAGCAAUUCAAUUUAUGGGGGCGAGCUUGUUUUGUAUCAGGAAAAGGUUUGUUAUAGAGCGGUUUUUUUUUUUGGUGUGUGUGUGUGUGUAUGUAGUAGAGUAUAUUUGCAACAUUUUGAGUUUUCGAAAGGCAUGAUAUUAAAAUUAGGUUUCUACAUGGGCGCACAUAUAAAUAUAAAUUAUUUAUUUCAAGUAAGAAGUUGUACUUUUGCAUCAGAAUAUUUUGGGAAUCUAAGAAGUUUGAUGGAUCCGCAAAUUUGGUUGAGCCAUGGUAUGGGACACCAUAUUCUGUUGAAAAAGUCACUCCGUCCAUGUUCCAGGUUUGCUUACCUGUUCUGCUCUUUUUUCACUUCUUAGCAGAAAGCUUUGCUUCCUUCCAUAGUUUUUAAGAUUUUCCUCAUUGAUACAGUUAUUUUGUACAAAAUUUUGUAUCUCAUACUUGUUUCAUCAUUGCUUAUAGGUGAUUUAUUUAUUUUUUUUCUUUUACAGCAAUGGAUAGAAAAAGCUCCUAACGAAAAUCUGCAUCUUCCGAAGCCAAAUGUAUUCAUCCCAACUGAUUUAACCAUCAAACUUGUGCAAGAAAAGGUGACUACUUCAUAGCCUGAGUUAUAUUAACUCCAAAGUUUGCCUUGGAUUGAGUGACUCCUGAUAACUGCACUGUUUUACCAGGUUAAGGUUCCAAUAAUGUUGAGGAAAUCAUCAUUUUCAAGACUCUGGUAUAAACCAGAUACAAUGUUCUUAACUCCCAAAGCUUACAUUAUUAUUGAUUUCAAUUGCCCAUUGGCCAACCAUACACCUGACCAAGAAAUCCUUACUAGUCUUUAUGUGAGGCUAUUAUUGGAUUAUUUGAAUGCUUUUGGUAUGCUGCUAUCUUUCAAUAAAUUUGUUUGCAUUACUUAUGAGCACACAAUCUAUGCAUUUUAGUAUGAACAAGGAAUCAAGCAUCAGGUGUAUCGAGGCACAUCAUGCAUACCAUACGGCGCCGAUGCAUUAUGAGCACAAGGCACAGGGGUUUAUCAAGCGUCCUACCGUACAUCAAUACUCCUAAGCAUAUUGAGUGAGAGAUUUUGACACCGCAAGUGUAUCAUAACAUGUGCCAAACACAUACUAAAACACCACACUUUCUGUUUCUGUUUUCUUCCUUCACUUCUUUCCUCUCACACUAUUUGUACUUAUCCCUCAUUCACUUGCAACAAUCCUAGAAGGCUAGAACAAAGAAAACGAAGGAAGGAGAUCUCGCUCUCGCUCUCUCUCUCUCUCUCCCGCUCUCUCUCUCACUGAAGAUUUAAGGAAUUUCCUACAAAUUUUCUAUUAUUUUUAAAACUUGCCAUGAAAAGGUUAAGAAAUUUAAGUAAAGGAUGCCUAGAUCCAUUUGAUCUUAUUUAUCAUAUAGAUCACUUCAUCAUGAUGCAGAUUAUGCAGAUUUCUUCAUUGGUAUAUUGUAUUUUGUCCAUAACCAAACUCCCGAGAAAUAAUGUUAUAAGACCUUUACACAUAAAAUUCAUAACAAGACAGUUUCAAAGUGUCCCCAUAUUUGCAGUCAAAGGCCUUCUGUGCUGAUUUACCAUGCCUAUAUUUGGCAUUGCAUAGUGCCCGUCCAUGCUGUGCUAGCAAGGGCGUGACAUGCGCCCAUAACUUGGCUCUUUAAAGCCUGGAGUUUAAGAAUCAUAGUGCUUGUAGCUACUUGAUGGUGACAUUACUGUCUUGACCACAAAAUGGGUAAUGCCUAAGCUAAAAUUUUGGAAUACAACCUUAUAAACUAAAUAUUUCUCAAGAAGAACAUCUAAAAUCAACACAAUGAAGUUAAUCAAAUAAAGAAGUUGUAACUUUGUAGAACCAGAUUUUGGACAAGUGUCUCUCAGAACAUUUUUUAUCAGUUGACUGAAGUUUUAUUCUCAAUUAUUUGUUAUCUGCCUUAUUAUCAUUACUUUCGAACUUAAUGUUCGUUCUUCUUACAUUACGACAUCUGUAAGUCACAUUCUAAGUUUUUUGUUUUUUCAACUUGCAGCUUACGAUGCUGAUAUUGCUGGUCUUUCUUAUUCAAUCCAACAGACUGUUACUGGAUUUCAGGUACAUUUCUAGUGCCCAAUGUAUCAUUACAAUAGUAGCCAAGAGAGAUUUAGACCAACUUGUUUGUACACAACCUAAUAGUUUAUUCACCUAACUUGUUGGUAUAGAAUUUUGCAAUUACAGUUAUGAAGAAGUUGUACAUGUCACUUAACUGUGCUAUCCUGUAGUGUAGAGAACAAAAGUUGCUAGUUUGUUAUGCAUGAAUUGCAAUUUCUUGUCACUAGGCACUUUUAAAAUUUGCAUACUUAUCUUUUACAAAAAAAAAUAUCAUUGUGCUUCUUUUUUUUAAAAUUGUUUUAUGUGGUCUAUUCCUCAAGUUUUUCUUUCUUAUAGCAGAAAUUUAAGUACCUUAAUCAAUGUUAAAACAUCUUGUUCAUUUAUUAUUCAUUGUCAUAUAUUCAAAAAUAAUAUAACUUAAAUUGAGCGCAUCCUAUUUGUCCCGUAAAAAAUGUCGACACUCUCACAGCUUGAAGAUUGGCUGAGAUUCUGAGACAAACCAAAACAUUUCUGUUUUGACUGUUGCUGAUCCAAAUCCAGGUCUAGGACCAACUUACACCUGAGGACAUCUAGUAUUGAUAGAAUGGAUCUAACAAAAAGAUUAUCUUAUAGCUAAGUAUGAUUCAUAUUUGAACCUCUGAUUCUUUCUUUUUUUUAUUUUUUAAUCUUAUAGUUUGCAUAUAUUGUGUCAUUUGAUGAUUUUGAUCUCAUUGAUUAAUGACAACAUGAAAGUUUGCUAUGUUCAUAAAAAUAGUUGUUGUAGCCCAUAGAUCAUCAAGCUAAGUUUCGUUAUGAUUAUCUAAUACUCCAUAUUUGAUCUUUUCGAAUAGUUUGAAGAAUUCUCUACCAAUACCCAAACCCAUAACUCUAACCUUAAACCUCCCAAAAUGUUUAAAGUUUAAAUCGGAACUCCAGAAGCUAGACUAAUGUCAAAAACAAAACUGAUGUUACGAGCCCUGAUUACAAAAUAUUUAAGCUACAUUAGCAGGAAUACAUUUGAUGCAGUUAAUUUCCCGUAAACCUUGCUAAUUUUCACCCAUCUGUGAUACUUGUAGCAGAAAUCAACUCUAACCUAAUCUAUAUCUACAUGGUAGCUGAUGGAAUCAUGGAAUCACAUACUUGUAUGCAAAAUGCAUUACUGAGGCUUAUGACCGGCCUUUAUAAAAUGUGUUACAAUGAUCAAAGUUAAAUAUAUGGAGAAUACGUUGUAUAAGAUAUUAAGCUCUUAAUGCAUAUCUCAUAUGCGUUUAUAAGAUACUAAGAUCUUGAUGCAUGUCUCUUAACCUUCUGGUUUUCAAUCUUUAUAAGCACUACCUGUAAUAUUUCCCAGGUGAGAGUGGCUGGUUUCAAUGACAAAUUGAAGAUUUUAUUGGAUGAUAUAAUUAGUCAGAUUGAGAAAUUUGAAGUAAAACUAGACCGCUUCUCUGUUUUGAAGGUAAGUAACUCCCCACGAUGCAGUAGGAAGAUUAAUUUUUUUGAUUAUGGCUGUUGCUAGUUGUAAAACUUUGAGAAUUUGAAAUAAUAACUUCUCUAUUUUCUUUAUUUAUGACUAAGUACAACAUAUAUAGCCCAUACUGGUCAAUGUGUACAAGGAGCAAAAUAAGGUAAAGAUCCUUAUGAUUUCUCAACUACUCCCAACUAAUUCUAUAUUUUCUCUACUCCAUAUUUACAACUUCAUCCUAAUCGUUACACCUCAUCUAAUACUCCCCCUCAAGUUGGCGCAUGGAUGUCAAUCACGCCCAACUUGCUAAGUAAGAAUCGAAACCGGUCCCGUCCAAGGGCCUUUGUAAAUACAUCAACCAAAUAGAGUUUGGUUGGUACGUAAGCUAUGACGAUGUCGCGAAGUUUUAGGUGAUCUUGUAUGAAAUGACAAUCUACUUCGAUGUGCUUCGUUCGCUUAUGAAAGACAUGAUUAUCAGCGAUUUGGAGUGUGGCCUGAUUAUCACCAAAGAGCUGCAUGGGCUGAACAUGAUCGAUUCUGAGAGAUUGCAAAAGGUUGCACAACCAUAGUAGUUCACUGGUGGCAGCUGCCAUGGACCUGUACUCUACUUAUGCUGACAACCUGGACACAAUGGUCUGCUUCUUGGUUUUCCAGGAGAUAGGACAACCACCAAGCAUGACAAAAAAUCUGGUGACGGAGCGUCGCGUCAUCGGGCAACCAGCCCAAUCCGAGUCACAGUAGACGUUCAAUUACAAAGAUGCUGGCACACUGAGCAAGAUCCCCUAUCCCGAACUUUGCUUGAGGUAUCGAAGGACUCGCAUCGUUGCAUCCCAGUGCAACAUGCAGGGGUUCUGCAUGAACUGAGAUAGGAUAUGGACUGAGUAGCAGAGUUCUGGUCGUGUAAUGGUCAAGUAAAUUAACCGCCCCACCAGGUGUUGAUAUUGUCCUGGAUCGGAUAUAGGAUCACUGGAGUCUGUAGAUAAAAGUGUUGUUGUUCCAUAGGGAAUAGUGAUGGUCUAGCUCCGAGCAUGCCAUAUUCGAAAAUAUUUCAGAGGGCCGAGAUCCUUGAUACAAAACUAGGUGGCCAAAUAAGUUUUGGAACUCUGACAUUAACUUGAAUCAUUUCAUGCUAAUAUUAAGUCAUCUAUGUAGACCACAAUGGCUAUGAAAGUGGUGUCCUUACUAUAUGUAAACAAGGAAUGGUCAGGUCCUGAUUGAAUGAACCCAGGGCGGAAGCGAACUUUGCAAACCAAUUUCUAGGAGCUUAACAGAGACCAUAAAGUGGCUUUCGAAGCGGCAAGCUUUGCCGCGUCCCAUGACAUGAAAGCUCGGCGGAAUACUCAUGUAUACUUCCUCUUCGAGGUCACCAUGUAGAUACGUCACCAUGUAGAAACGCAUUGUGUAUGUCCAUUUGAUGAAGUUCCCACUUCUUGAAAAUCGAAACAGUCAGAAGACAGCGUACACUCACCAAUUUAGCAACCGGUGCAACUGUCUCAUGAAUCAAGUCCCUUGAUCUGAGCGAACCCUUUUGUGACGAGACGAGCCUUAUAACGCUCCACACUGCCAUCGGCCCUACGUUUCACCUUGAAUACUCAUUUGCAAUCAAUUGGUUUCUUAUUUGGUGAAGAUCUUCCGUGGUCCACGUACUAUUGUCUUUAAGAGCCUUUAUCUCUUGGGCUAUAGCAUCUCGUCAGCUAGGAUCUUUCAUUGCUUGAGAGUAAUUUCUGGGCUUGUUAUCUUCAUCGAGAGCCGCUACAAAUGCUUUAUGAGAUUCAAACAAUUUAUCAUGACAAAUAAAAUUUUCUAUAGGAUGGAUCGUACCUAAAGUCUCUUUGGAGUGGAAUGUCAUGUAGAGGGGGGUCUUUGAGUUUGGUGGCACGACACAUAGUCUCGUAGGUGGGUUGGUGUCUUGCGCAUCCUUCUAGGCCAUGUGGUUUUGAUCUUUGUCAAAUCCAGCCCACCAUAGGCUUCAGGCUUACUCCUCUUGUCCAGUGUAAUUUCUUCCUUGCUGGGCUCCUGCAUUUCUAGGCCUGGUUCGAAUUGGGCUUGCAAGUUGUUGGGCUCGUCAUUGAGUUCAAUUGUACUAGACCCGACUGGAGAAACCGGGCAUGGCUGAGCUACUGGCCCGUCUAUAGAGAUCGGGUUGACUUCAUCGGCUUCCUCAAAUACCAAUGGCACAACCGGUUGGUCUUCGUUGUCAAAUUUUCCUUUGCUAAAAACUACAUCUCUCAACACAAAAACUUAUUGUGUGUCAAGGUCAUAUAGUUUCCAUCCUUUUUGGGCCUGGGGAUAAUCAACAAAAAUACACUUUUGAGCCCUUUUAUGAAAUUUAUCAUGGACCCGCAGCUUCCAAUGAGCAAAAUAUAUGGACCUAAAAAUUUAAAUAUGAUCAUAAUUCGGAUUUUGCCCAAAGUGUACCUCGUAAAGUGUCUUUCAGGAUAACAGUCAUGUUGGAGUGUAAUUGAUGAGAUAAACGACGGUUACAUAUACUCGCCCAAAAACUUAACAAGUAGUCCUGCUUCGAAGCGCAAGGCUCUCGCUACAUUGAGUACAUGCCGGUGCUUACGUUCCAGUCUCCCAUUUUGUUGAGUGUCGAUGCAGGAGGUUUGGUGUAUUAUCCCUUUAUUUGAGUAAAACUGCCGUAUUGGACCUAAAACAAAUUCUCGACCAUUAUCUGAUCUAAUUACUUUAAUUAUGUGCCCAAAUUGAGUUUUUACCAUAUUAUAGAACUUUAUUAAUAGUCUGCAUACUUCAGAUUUUUCUUUAGUCCCUCGGCUGUGAUCAUCAAGACAUCAACUAUGGUUAGAAAAUAUCGUGCGCUUGAUAAGGACACCAUGUUAUAAAGUCCCCAGAAAUCACAAUGGUUCAAGUCAAAACUAGCAGUAGCUUUAUUUUCACUAACAUCAAAUGGUGCUCUAGUUUGUUUCGAGCAUAAACAUAUGUCGCAAGAAUCACUAGAAGACUUAUUAACUGAAAUUCUAGGAAUUAAAUUCAAAAUAUAGCAAGAGGGAUGGCCUAGUCGUUGAUGCCAUAAACCAUAGCUCUCCAUCGUGGUUAUUGUACGUGCUGACAACAGUGCCACACGCCCGAGAUGAUAGACCCCUCCCCGCAAUUCACCCAUUCCAAUCGGCUUCUUCGAGGUGAGGUCCUUUACAAGACAAAAAUCAAGAAAAAUGUCACCAAACAGUUUAGAUUAGCAGUCAACUUUCCAAAGGAAAUUAAAUUGCACAUAAAACCAGGAACAUAAAGAACAUUUCGUAAAAUUAAAUUCAAGCCUAAUUUCACCCCUCGCGUCAUCUUAGCCUGAAUCGUCUCCUAUUUGGGAGUUGUAUAAGGUACAGCGCUUCUACUCUCUCGGGUUCAUCAAGAUAUUCUAGUCGUCCAGUCAUGUGCAUUGACACUCCUGUGUCCAAUAUCCAAUCCACGGUAUCAUUGUGAGUGAAAUUCUUACCCGACAUUUGUUCAGUCGAUCUUCUUUGAUCAUUCAAGAGCGCUAAAAGCUGUUUAUAUUGUUCCUUUCUGAAGCUUGGGGCCAUUUGGGUUGAACUCUGGAGUGGAUCUGUAGCUUGUGCCAAAUGGGCAGUCACAACUGGACGAGCUGUCCGCUGUUGUGACGAUUUACCCGCAUCACCCACUCCUCGCCGCGUCCGCCUCUCCUUCCUCGAGAUCCACAUCUCUGUUCGCAAUUUUCUGGGUAACCAUUCAGCUCCCAGCAGCUCUCUCGAUCAUGUCCAAUUUUUUGACAAUGGUCACACUUCAGCCUAUGGCCUUGAGUCGGUAUCGCGCUCCCUUUUCCGCUAUUGUUCGCGAAAAAGGCCGCCGCAUCGACCUGAUCAUUUCUUCCAUUGGCAACCAUUCGUUGACGCUCCUCUUGUGUGACCAUUGACUAUGUUUUGCUCAAGGUCGGCAGAGAAUUAGGGUAGAAUAUUUGUGAACGAACAGUGCCAAAAACCUCGGCAUUGAGGCCCAUGAGAAACUGGUAGAGUUUCUCCAUUUCCUUCUUCUUAACGUAAUCCUGGGCUGCCGCGCACGUGCAAUUUGGCGUUUCGGAAUAAUUUUCGAGUUCGUCCAUAGAGUUUUCAACUUUGCAUAAUAAUUCGCCAUCAAUAAGCCCUGUUGAGGGAGAAGGCAAAGCUCAGUUUUGAGUUGGAAGACUCUUGGGGCGUUCCCUUGAGAGAAGCGGCCCUUCAAGUCAUCCCACAUAGAUUUUGCAUCUUCGGCAUAAGCAACACUCCCUUGAACGAUUUGUCAAGAAUUAAAGAUCCAAGCAAUGACCAUUGAAUUGCAAAUCGUCCAGUAGCUUGCGUCCGGUGCAUUGGCGUUUGGCUUCUUUAAUGUCCUGUUUACGAUCCCGAGCUUGUUCUUUGCCUGCAAUGCAUUCUUCAUUGCCCUUACCCAUGUUGAAUAGUUGCACCCAGUGAGAGAGCAGGAAACCAGCGGGGUCCUUGGAUUAUUCGAGGAACUAAGCUGGUAUGAUGGUGGUAUCUCUACCAUCGUCUUCUGAUUGGCCAUGUUGAGUCGAGGUCGUGAACUAGAAAAGCCGCUAGGGUUUCGUUGAUAUCAGGAUCGGUGCUCUGAUACUAAGUAAAACUUUGAGAAUUUGAAAUAAUAACUUCUCUAGUUUCUUUAUUUAGGACCAAGUACAGCAUAUAUAGCUCAUAUUGGUCAAUUUGUACAAGGAGCAAAAUAAGGUAAAGAUCCCUAUGAUUCCUCAACUACACCCAACUAAUUCUAUAUUUACUCCAGAUUUACAACUUCAUCCUAAUCUUUACAGUUUACACCUCAUCUAAUACUAGUAUUUUCUAUAUGCAAUAAAUAGGGGUGUUUUAUCAAGUUUUAUGCCAGCAAGCAAAAGAAAACAUAUCUAAAAGUACUAUGAAUUGUGCAUUAGGCAAGACUUGAAGAGAGAUGGCAUAGGUGAAAUUUUGUGAUUUACUAGAUGGGUCGAGUAUGCAUGUAAUAUUUAGUUUUAGACCCUUAAAUUUUUUUUUCUUCAUAUGUGCCUGAUUGAUGUUGAGCAUCUAUGUGAGCUGCUCAACUGGGGUAGAUAGCUUUUUGGUUUGCCGAAAGCAUGUACUGACUUGUUAUAGU